UCAACAAGACUUGCUGUACAUCUGAAUGCAUGCUUAAUAACAUCUUGAAUAAUAGCUCUACAUCUGGGAAAUAAUUUCUAUUCGCUUGAUUUUAAAGUAUUUUUUUGCAGGGAUACAAAAAAAAAAAAAAAAAAAAAAAAAAAAAGUGUUUUAAGACAUCAUAAAAUUUAUUUUUCAGUUAAAUUCAUUAUGUGAUAUACUUACAUCCUGUAAUUGUUGUCAAUUACACUCAAAAUGCAAUUAUGUAAUUACAUUAUUAAAACUUGAUUAUUGUUACUGAAUCACUAAUAAUUCCAUAAUGCAAUGAAUUGAAUUUAUUACAUUUUUAAAAUCGUAUCACUUAAUGACCAUUGAAGACAAUCUUUGUGGUUGAGUAAUGAUUUUUGUUCUCUUUUAAUAUAGUUCAACACAUGAUAUGGUCAUUAAUUUAUUUUACCAGAUCAUCAGGUCAUGAAAUGACAUUCUUUAAACCUGAUUUGAUCUCUCUCUCUCUCUCUCUUGUAUACCCAUUCAGCACAUCAUGUAUCAUGCAUUUAACUGGUUUAAAGGUAGGUAGACCUUCAGCUUCUGUCAAGGAACUGUGUACUUUAAAAUCAUGUGGUGAGUUUGUAAAGGAACUGCUGCAGAGAAUGUAGGCAAAAAGUCAUUGGGGAAAUGUUAAUUUGAUGGUAUAAUUUUUUUUUGAUAAGUAGUUAAUUUGAUGGUAUAAUAUAACAUCCAAAAUUCUAAUAAAAUUACCUUGGACCAAAAUAAACAACAGCAUGCUCGUGUAUUAAUUUUUUCUUAGAAAAUAAAAAUGAUUUAAGCUUUUAUUACAAUAUUUUUCUAAACAACUAAUGCUAUUUGUAUCACAGGUACAAUUAUUCUUCAUUGUUUUGAAGUGGAUUCGAUAACAGAUUUAGAUUUAUUUGGGUGUUUUCGCUGAAGCAAGGAUUACUCAUGGGGUAGUGCAUUGACAGCUACCUUGCUCUUCUUCUUGCCUUAAGUCACUGCUAAUCCUGUCCACCAAGUACCAACCCUUGCGGAAAAUUUCAGACCUAAUUAAGGAUUUCCUUUCCUUUAGUGUCUUAAUUACUAGUUCAUCAAUAUGAGGUAUGAUUCACAUAAGCAAAAUGAUUAUUGUUUCAAAGAAGAAAGUUUAAUUAGAAAUCACAUUAGAGGUGUCCUGUGUGAAUCAUAUCUCAUGUACUACAGAUCUACAGAUCUCGAGUUUAAGCCUCCCUGGUAUUUAAAUAGUGUAAGAUAGUAAGAUACGGGGGCAAGGUCAAGUCAACCGGGGUUUUGAAGAUGUCCAGACUCCAGCCCAGUAAUUGAGUUUCAAUGAGAUGUCCUGUGUGAAUCAUAUCUCAUGUAAUACAAAAGUAUGCAAGUUUCAAAAACUGAAGAGACCUAGGAAGGAUAAAAGCCUAAUUACAAAACCAAAAAAGCAGUGAGAGAACUUAAAUGGAACAACAUAGGAUCCAGAUAAAGAAGAAAGGACACUGGCUUUUGUUGAGGAAACUUAGAGAAGUCGCUUCUAACUGCAGGUUUCAGACAGGGUAAGAUCAUCAACUAAAGGCCAAUGAUGAGUUGAAGGUUAUAGCUGAAGUUAUAGAGGUUAAUAGACAAUUUGGCUGAGUGCAUGACAGUCAUGAGUCAACAAGGACCUCUACUUCAAGAAAACCACUCCCCGAUAAUAAGGAAGCAGGUGAUGGAUUGAUUACCAUAGUAGUGGAUCUUGGACCAUUUUAGCCAAUCAUCAAACUUGUGGAUGGAGUCAGCUUCGCAUCUACUUAUGGUUAGACUCCUAUUCUUUAUAUGUCUAAUUCUUACUUUUUUUUCUUCAGGGAGCAUGUAAAACUUGUCCACACUUUAUGCCAUAUCAAUACGAAAAAUGGGAGGGCGUUUGGGCCAAAGAGAAUAGAAAUAUGAAAAAUUCCAUUGCAAGGUGACUAACUAGGCCAAAACAUUAUUCUCAACACUUCUACAAAAAACAAAUAAAUAAAUAUAUAAAAUAAGAAUAAAAACCCAAGUGAAUGUCAACCAGAGAUUAAGCAAAUGCGGGAACUACUCAAAUAUUACCUGGUUGAAGAAUGGAAAAGAUUCCAUGUUCUGAGCCCUUAGAGUAUCCACAUUGAUUGCUUGGUAGUUUGCAAUUGACCUUAAGAAUUUGGGUCUCUGUCACAAUGUUAUCUGUGGGUAAUUAGAAGUUAUUUAAGAAAGGAAAAAGCAAAAUAGUCCAGUAAAACAUUAUUUUUUGAAUCAUUUAUUCAUGCAUUGUUGUAAUCAAUAGAAAUAGAUCCUAGAACCUGUGGAGUGUGUUCUGCAAUUCAUUGCUUUUAAGUUAACUUUUCUAAUCAAGAUUCUAAGUUAGCAAAUAUCUUAAAAGAUGUCAAAUGUCUGAGAACGAAUAUGAAAUACCCAUGUAAGUAUAACUAAAGAAUAGGACCAUACUGUACCUGGGUUUGUAAAAUCGAUUGUGAAGUCGUGUAUAUAAGCUCCCAUUUUCCAUUCAAUAAAUCAGAUUUCAGUGGCUCCUUUAUUGAAUUGACUGCUUCAAGCUCACUGGCAAUCUAAUUGAUAAAAAAAUUCAAGGAAAGGAAAAAAAUAACAGUGUUAAUUAACAAUAAUAACUAUAUUUAUCCAUCUGGUUUUAAAUUAGCAUGACAUAAUACAAUCAGUUCUGCAAUGUCCAAGAAAAGCAAUGCCAGGUGUGGGCUGUAGUAACAAUCUGAACCUAUUCAAAAUGGGAUUUCCUAGACUUCAACAUUCUAACAGCAAAGGCUUUAAACAUUGUUACUUCGAGUAGGAGAUGUAUCACACUCUCACCAUGGGAUAUAGAAAGAGAAGGGGAACACAGGGAGGAAAACAUGGAAAGUUUCUCUGAGAAUCAAGGAUAUCAUUAAUAAAUAGCCCAAAAAGGUCAAUUGCCCUGUCCUUCAUCUGUCUAGAAUCAAAAUUGUUCUCAGGACUCCCUUUUAGGUAAUACCCAUACUUCUUAAUUUUAUAUUAUAUUUUAAAUGGGAAUAAUUAGAUCAUAAAGCCACCUGACAAAUUCAUCUGGCUAGGGGAAUGAAACUUCAAAAACUGGCAGACUGGAAAGUGUAAUUUCCCUAUGUCUCAAACACAAGAGUUUUGGGUCAAUCUUCAAUAUUAGUGAAGAAUGAAUAUUAUCUUCUCCUACGAAAUAGCCCUUUUGAAAGGUGAAACAAGUAAAUUUGGGCCUCCUUAUGUUGCUUCAAUUUCUCUCCUUGGACAUCAAAGCAAGAGCAUUGCUUUUAGCCCUUAAAAUCAACAAACAGUUUAAAGUGCAAAUACCAAAAUCAAAUAUAAGAAUUUUCUUGCCUCUGAACUUCACACCCAAAAUCAACAGAAUUACUUGCAAAACAUUAACCAAACACUAAAUAAAAGAGUAAAAAAAGAAAAGAAAAGAGAAGAAAUCCCAACCUGAUCAACCCUUUGUUGAUCCUCAAGAGUGGCAUCAGCACCUCUAUCAAGUGGGGCAAUGGCAUCAAGAAGCUCUUCCUUGAGAGCUUUAGCAUCUUUUCCUUUUUUCAAAAAAGCAGGAAAAAAAGAGACCCCAACUCUCCAUUUCUUGGAAGGUGAAGGAUUUGAGAGGACUGCUGCAUCAUUGUAGGUGAUGUGGUUGGUGGGCUUGGUGAGUGGAGAAUACUGACAAUUGAGGAGUGUGAGGGAUGAGGGCUUGGAGGGUUGAAUGGGAGUGAGAAGUGAAGAUGGAGAAUGCAGAGAUAAGGCCAUAGAGCUUGUGGGUCUAAGUGGGUGUAGCCUUUGGUUUGGUCACUGCAAUAAGCCACCUCCUCAUCUUCCAGUUUCAUGUCUUUUUUAGCUUCAUUUCACAUUUUAUUAAAAAUCAAAAAAUAAAAAUAGAAAUAGUUUGGGUGGACAGGAUUAAUUAGAGCAUUUGUUUCUUAUCAUCUUACUAUCAAAGGAUUUCAAAACUCAAUGUGAUUAAAAUAAAUUAAUUCCCAAAUUAAAUUAGUAUUUCUAGAUUCACUUUUAUUAUUAAUUUUUUUUGAAAUAAUUCACAAUUUUAACUUUAUUUCUUGGUCUUAAAUUAAAAUUAUACUAUGAUAUUUUUUUUAUUAUUAAGAAUUGGUCAAAUCCCACUCAUUUAUUUAUUUAUUUUUUGAAUAUAUAUGUCUCAUUCUUUCAUACCAUAUUCUUAUUUAAUCAUAUUUAAAAUUUAUUUUUCUAAUUAAAAUAUUUCGAGAACAUUCUUUUUGGAAUACACCAAAUAAAAUAAUUAUUUCUUAUUUGUCCUUUUUGACAUACAUCAGUCUAUUUAAUUUUCUACUUAAAUUUUUUUUAUUAAUAGUGUUUGGAAAGUUAGAAAAGUCUAGAGUGCCUGAUUGGAGGAGCAAAUCUACAGAGGAAAAGCACAUGUCUCAUGUGCGCAUAAACCAGUGAAUAGCCCUGUUCCGCACGCCUCCUUGCUUCUCAACUCUUCCUUUCUCUCCAUACAUCACUCAUGAAUCGAGGCCAAGAUUUAAUUUGAGAAGCAAGAGGAAAAAAAAUUGUAAAAGACUCAGAAAAAAAGAUGCAUUCAAAAUUCUCAAUCACCCAUCUAAACCCAUCAAAAACCGGGCUGUUUCCUCUCUUCCCUCAUCGGGAUUUCUGCAAGGUGGGAUUCUCUGCAAGACCCAAACUCCGGUUCAAGCUCGUUGUCCAGUCUAUGGGUGAUAGGUGGAGAUUAAGCGACAUUGAUACCCGUGAGUCCUGUUUUUUUUUUUUCCAUAUGAAUUAUAAACUUCUUUUCUUUUGUGUUUCUAUUUCAAUUUUCAUUCUUGUAUCUAUAAAGGCCGAGUAUUGGGUUGGAUUCAACUUCUGGGUCAUUCUGAUUUUCAGUAAUUAGUGUAAAGUCCAUAUGCAGAAAUGAAUUGAAUGUAUUUUUAUCAUAAAAACAGUAGUCCAGAGCAUAUAAGGGUUUAACCCAACUAAAGAGCUUAGCUGAUCAAUAAACUUCAAUAUAAUUCAGAAUUGUAGGCAUUAUAUGAUUAUCCUGGGGGGUUUUCGAACCUCUGUGAUUCAAUAUGCUAAUCUGUGACAUUAGGCUCCAUGUAACAUACACUCAUUAUUGGACGUCAAGGACCACGGUAAGAGAGUUUCUCUAGAGGCCAGAGGGCCAAUAGACCCAGGUGAGGUACCAAUAGAAAAGACCCGAUAUUUGCUGUCCCCAAGAUGAUUCUCUUUUCCUUUUUCUGUGGGUGGAUAUAUUGUAGUUGGCAGGUAGGCUUAUUUGAUGAUUGUUGUGGAGUUAAACGUUGAGAGUUGAGAGGCUGCUAAGAGUUUCUGUAUUUCUUCUUAUUGUUAAUAGUGGAUUUGAUUUUCCUCCCUUCCAAAGUCCAUAUGCAAUCUAGCCAAACCUCGUAGAUUUGGUUUUUCUUGUGUGUGCUUGCAAUUACAAUUUAUUUUAUUAGAAUCAGGAUUUCAUAUUGAACAUAUUAAAUCAUAAACAUAUUUGUGAAUGCUAAUGGUUUGUCUUCCUGGUAGUUGCUGCAUUAAGAACCUAUAGUUUUGUAAAACUUUAGCUGUCUAUCCGGGUUAGAUGUAAAGUUGUAUUCUAGAAGAUGGAGAUUGAGAUUGAAGUUUAAGGAUUAGUUUGUCUUGUAACUUAGUAUGAGUCCUAAGAUGCUAGAGAUUUCAUGGGAGAUGGUAUGCGGUUACUGCAUUAAUGUUGCUUCUAGUUUUGGAUUUUCAAAUCCUUAUGUUCUCAACAGAUGCUGUGCAAGAACAAUUGAAUAUGUGGCUUGUGAAGACUCAAAGCUUUUUGAAUGAAGUGACUUCUCCAUUGGUAAGAACUGGUCAUGGUAGAAAGCCUGACUCUGCAAAUGUGUCUGACACUCAAGAUAUGGAUGAUGUAUUUGUGCCAGAACAAACUAUUCAGAGCAGCACACCCAGUGGCGACCUUUCAUUGGCUGCUAUUGUUUCUAUUGAGCAAUUCAGCAGGUGACAAUACUUGGCAGUUUUAUUUAUUUGUGUUUUUUAAGUUUCUUAGAUUAGUAUCUAUUGAUAAAUGAUGCUAUUUUGUGCUUACUUUUUUGCUUGUGACAGCAUACUAUCUCAACCUAUCAGACUAAUUAAGGGAUUGUCAUUUGACUUUUUGAAAUUAAGAUGUGCAGGAUGAACGGAUUGACUGGGGAAAAAAUGCAGAAAAUAUUUAGAGCACUUGUUCCUGAAACUGUCUAUAACGAUGCCCGUAAUUUGGUGGAAUAUUGCUGCUUUAGGUUCUUGUCAAGAGAUAGUUCUGAUAUUCAUCCUUGCCUCAAGGUUUGUAGAUUAAGUAUAAGCAUAUUGCAUUCAUUUCUUUCUUUCAUCUGGUUUUCCUUUCUAUUUUCUCUGGUCUUCCAAGAGUUUGCAGCUUCACUUUCCUUACUCAUGUUUUCUUCUAAUUAUGGUUAAAGUAGGUGUAGUUUUAUUUUUUAUUUUUUCCCUUCUUUUAGUUAAGGUAUUAUAGUAAAGACAUGACAUUAUCUGUUGUAGCUUGUGUCAUCUGAUUUUAUAAAGAUACUAUGUGGACUAUCUAUUUAUCUUAAGCAUAAGUUCUGAUGAUUUAGAUAUGUAUUUAUAUACUAUGUGUAUAUGAUUAUAUUUUACAGUUAUUUCUGUUUGUAUACAAGUGCUUUGAAAACUAUAACCUUAGGGACUUACAUAUUUAUCUCUAGCUUAUUUUUUUUCAUUGAUUUAUCAUAAUCUUUUGUGAGACCUGUAGGACUUACUAAAUUAUCUGAUUGGCCAGUUGGGUUUUUUUUUUUUUUUGGGAUAAAUUUGGUGCUUACAGGAACCUGCAUUCCAGAGACUGAUUUUCAUUACAAUGCUCGCAUGGGAGAAUCCUUACUAUGAAGCAAAUGAUUCAAAUGCUAUUGGUUUAGAGAAAGCUUCCUUUAAGGUUAAUUCCAUUUUUUUUUCUUUUCUUUCCUCUUCCUGAUAUUCCACCCUCUAAAGCAACUUGUAACUUCUAGUGUCUAGAGAUUGGAUUGUUGGAUCACUGGUUUUGUGCUUCUUUAGUUCCCAACUCCUAAAAAUUCAUGAACAGGUUUCCGAGAUCAUCAUUUUAUUCUCCAGAAACUAUUUCUUUUAACUGUGUUUGGUACACAUGCUGUGUAUGUUAUCGUUGUCUUUAUUUCAAAAUCCUUGAUGAUAGUUUUUGCAUCUGUUUUACAUUUGUGCUUACCAUAUGUUGAUUGCUGCAAAGAGUAAGUUUGAAAAUUUUGAGCUAAAAGGCUUGGUUGAGCAAGGCAUUUGAAAAGAAUGAUCUAUGAAUUGCAAAUAACAUCUUUGGAAUAAAGAUUCAAUGAGCUUGAGGGGAUGGAAAAUUGUUGGUGCAGCAAAACAAGUUUGUUGAAAAGUUUUGCAAAGGUUUUGUGAAGUCUAAUUCUAUUGCUUGGGUGUACUGGUUGGAAACAUUUAUCUUUCAACAUUCUAUAAUAAUAUUUCUGAAGUUAUGAAUUAAAAUAGAUUAUUUGCUUGUUGGCCUUAAAGAGGAAGCUUGUAGGAGAAGAGGCUUUUGUUCGUAUUGCUCCUGCUGUUUCUGGUGUUGCCGAUCGGCCAACUGCACAUAAUCUAUUCAAGGCUCUUGCUGGUGAUGAACGGGGCAUAUCUUUAAGUUUGUGGUGUACAUAUGUUAAUGAACUUCUCAAGUGAGUGUCAUGAUUCCCUUUAUAAUCCUGUAUAUUGUUAUGACCUCUUGUUAUUCUCAUAUAAGGUAAUUAAUUACCUUAUUGCAAUAUGCUGCAUUUAUGAUCAUCAUCUGAAGAAACCUUUACAAUUUGUGAAGUUUCAAAUUCUCUUAAGAUCUAUGAACCGUUAAUGUUGAAUUUGUUCAUUUCUAAUCAUAAUAAAAUCAUUAAAGAAGCUUGUUCACAUUAGAUUUCAAGUGAGGCUCUACAAUUUAUUAUUUAUUUACUUAUUAAUUUAAUUGUUAUUAUUAUUAUUGUGUGUGUGUGUGUGUUGAGAAAUGAGGAAAACUGGUCUCUAUCUUUUCACUUUAUUUGUUGAUCUUACCAGGGUCUAACCCAUAAGGCAACCUUACGAGUUCCGACACUGGAUCAUUGGUGGACAGUUUUACAGCUUAACAGUGAUGGAAGAUUUUUUCUGGACUUGGAUCAUAUAGUUUCAUAGUUAUUUCAGUGUAACUGCCACCAGGACACAUGGACAAAAGUAAUCUUAAUCUCCUACAGCAUUGAUGGGGGAGUUUUUGGGUUGUAUUUGAUGUAUAUUUUUCUUUCAAAACUGGUUAUAGGAUGAGAAUUUAUAAUAUAAAUAAUAUUUAGGAGCACAAUUCCCAUAAAAUAAUAUUUAGGAGUGCAAUCCCCAUAAUUUAUAGGAACCUUUUAAUAAUAUUAGAAUUUACAAACUUGCUCUUGAGGCCUGGUUCAAGUGUUAAAGGGAUGGGGAGGGUUUGUGGGAGGUUCCUGGUUCAAAGUCCAAUGGGGCAAAAAUUUACCUAUCAAAAAAAAAAAAAUUAAAAAAAUUUACAAACAAUUCCACUUAUUGGGAGUGUGUUAGUUGCACAGGCAUGUUCUUUAAUUUUUGAGAGUUAACAAACAAAAUGUCCAUAAAAUGAUAGAAUAAUUGACAUGAAAAUGUUGGGACAAUUUGGGAAAUCAAGAAAGAGUAAACUGAGGAAUUAUUGUACUUGUGAGAAGUAAGAGGUAGGACUGCUUGAGGACAAAUGAGAGGUUGGCUAGACUUGUUUAUUUAUGUGCAAUGAAGAAAAAUGACAAGACACUGGUAAAGAGUGUUUUUGUUCAAAUAAAAUCUGCUGUAAGGAUGAGAGUACGUCCAGAAAAAAACUGUAGGUUGAGGUUGUGAGAAAAGAGCAUAAUGGUUUAUGACUUAAUUGAAGAUAUGACCCUAGGUUAAGUGAAUUGCAAAUAGGAUUCGUGAAGUCAACAUCAAGUAAUUGGGAAUCUGGGACGAGGCUCUGUUAAUUUAUAUCUUAUAGUAUUAAUUUCUUUAAUAUUAGGGGCAAUAUUGAUAUUAAUUCUGAAGUAAAGCAAUAAGUAGGAUAUGUCUAUAAUGAGGCAUGCAAUUGAAGACUUGCCAUGGGCUGUGCAAAUGUUUCAGUAAUAUAUUUCAAAAUUAUUAUUGCACUAGUUUUUUCAACUGGCUGUUUUCAAUCAAUAUUUUAAGAAAUCUUUUGAAUUAGAGUCACAUGGUGGUGCUAUUUUUCUCUUAGUUGAUAUUUUCCAAGCUUAAACGAUUAUAAUCUGUCAUGUUAUGGUUAUGUCUUGUUGCAUGCAACCCAUUUCCGUGGUUUGUCAGUUACAUAUGUAGGUUAAUCUUUCAGAGUUUAUUCUUAUCUUCUACCGGUGUUUCUCUCUCUCUCUCUCUCUCCCUCUCCCUCUCCCUCUCUCCUUUUGUUUUUGGAUGUAGAGUGCACGAAGGACGCAAAUCAUAUGAGAUUCAAGAAUCCCCCCAGCUUUCCAGGGAGCGGAUCAUAUGUAUUGGUUCUAGCAGGAAGCGCCCGGUCAUAAAGUGGGAGAACAAUGUUGCAUGGCCAGGAAAACUUAUUUUGACCAAUAAAGCACUCUAUUUUGAGGUAUUUAUUCAUUCUAACUUGUGAAGUGAAUUAAUGUAAAGUUACCUCAUCAAAGGCAUUCAAUGGAGUGUUGUGUAUUUUUAAAUCAUAUGAAGUUCAUGGAGUUAUUGAUGAACAUGAGUAGUAUGAUGCUUUUAAUGAUUUUUGGGUUGUUACAUAUAUUUAGACAUGGGCACAUAUUCAUAUGAUAAAAUUUUUUCUUGGGAACUAUGUAACUAAACAUUUUGUUUAAUAUUAUAUAUAAUAGCAUAGCUUAGAAAAUUCAAAGGUGUCUGAAACAAAAUCAGAAACUUGUUGGAUAACUAUAAUUACUGGCGCACUUUAGAAGAUUUUUUGAUAAGUAAAAGAGAAGAAAUUGUAUUGAAAAGAGACGCUAAAAUAACAACUCAAAAAGAUACAACAAAGGAACACCCCCCUCCCCAGCUAGAACAAAAAAAAACCUUGGAAAGCAGAGGGGCCCAAAAAAAACCACCCUCAACAAGAACCAACCCAAUCAAGGAAACCUACUAAAGACGGAAGACCAUAUUUUAUGAACAAUUUCAUCUCCAACCAAAGAAAAUAAAUAAAAGAACUCUUAAGUCUUUGAAUGGACAACACAUCAUCUUCAAAUACAAUUUUGUUUUUUGCAUUCCAAACUGUCUAAAAAAAUACAUAAAGGGCCUGCUCUCCAAACUUUCUUUCUCUUUUUUUCCACAAAAGACCCGUUCCAACCCAAGAGUGUCAUUUUAACAGAGGAUGGCAGCACCCACUGCACCUUGAAGAGAGUGAAAAAUAACCCCCAAAGAGUCCUUGUCUUGGCACAGUGAAAGAGGAUAUGAUCUAUCGAUUCCUCAUGCAUUUGGCAAAGGUAGCAUCUAUUUGCUAAAGGCCAUCAUCUUUUCUGAAGUUGGUCCAAAGUAAGGGCCUUCCCCCAAGUUGCUUCCCACGUAAAAAAACUCACUUUGGGCUACACACAUGAAUUCCAAAUGACAUUUGAUGGGAAAGAGGCUAAUGGUCCAGAUUUUAGGGCUUUGUAGAGAGAUUUAACUGAGAACUUUCCACAUUUAGUCUCUAUCCAAAGCACCCUAUCUUCCACAUCUUGCCGAACACUCUUCCCAUUAAGACCCAAUAAAAAACUGUGCACCUCAUCCAUCUCCCAAUCAUUGAAAGGUCUAGAGAAAUGCAGGCUCCAGCUCCCCCCUCCCUCGGUGAAACUCCACACAUCUUUUACCCAGGCGCCCUUGAACGUAGCUAAAGCAAACAAAGUAGGAAAAGCGACACAAAAAGGUGAAUCUCCAUACCAUCUAUCCUUCCAAAAUCUCAUCCUCUGACCACUGCCCACCAUAAAGGAGAUUCUAUUGCUUAAAACAUGCCACUCCUUCCUAAUUGCUUUCCACAACCCCACGCCAUAUCCACCCCUCAUUUCCUUGGAGCACCAACCGCCUUGCUCCUCCCCAUACUUUCCCCUAAUCACUUGAUUCCACAAGGCCCCUCUUUUAUUUGCAAACCUCCAACUCCUUUUGCACAAAAGCGCCUUAUUAAGAGAAGAAAGACACUUCACCCCCAAACCCCCUUUUCUUUUAUCUAAGCAAACAAGUGUCCAUCUUACAAGAUGAGGUUUCCGCUCAAGAGCCCCACCACCCCGCAAAAAAUCUCUUUGAAUUUGCUCCAACCUCAAUCUGACCGUCCUAGGCAAAGUAAGCACAAACAUAAAAUAAAUGGGCAAGUUAGCCAAAGUACUUCGGAUCAAAGUGAGCCUCCCUUCCUUGGAGAUAUAUUUUCUCUUCCACAUUGCCAAUCUCUUUCAAAACCUCCCCUCCACUCCAUCCCAGGCAGCCACAAACUUAAAAAGAGCCCCCAAAGGUAGUCCCAAAUAAGAGGAGGGGAGACUUCUGACCUUACAACCAAGUUCUGCAACCAAAACCUUCACAUUUUCCACACAUCCCACUGGGAUUAACUUGCUUUUAUCCAAAUUAAUUAUCAGCCCUGAAAUGGCCUCAAACCACAUUAGAGUCCAACUUAAAUACUUUAUCUGAUCCUGAGUAGCCGCACUGAAAACCAAAGUGUCAUCGACAAACAAUAAGUGGGAUACAUGAGCCCCUUCACCACCUCUACCCCUCACCUUACAGGCUAACAGAAAACCCCCACUUACAGCUCUCUUUAGAAGGCAACUAAGUGCCUCCAUAGCAAUCACAAUCAGGUAUGGUGAGAGUGGGUCCCCUUGCCUUAAACCUCUAAAACUUUGGAAGAAUACUAAGGAAGUCCCAUUAACCAAAAUGAAAAAACUAGUUGUAGAGAUGCACCACUACAUCCAUUGGAGCCAUUUCUCCCCAAAACCCAUCAUACUCAUAACUGACAGCAAGAAGGACCAGUCCACAUGAUCAUACGCCUUCUCCAUAUCAAGCUUGCACAACACCACCCCCUCAUUACUCUUCAAAAUUGAAUCUAUGACUCCAUUAGCAACAAGGGCAGCAUCCAGGAUUUGUCUACCCUUCACAAAGGCAUUUUGGGCCUUGGAUACCACCUUACCCACUAACAGCUUUAAUCUAUUGGCUAGCACUUUAGCUAGCCACUUGUACAGCCUACCCACCAAACUAAUUGGCCUGAAAUCCCUUAAAUCUUCCGUACCCCCUUUUUUUGGGAUCAAGACUAUGAAUGUUGCGUUCAGACUUUUGACAAAACAAUUGUGAUCAUGAAACUCCCUGAAAAACCCCAUAACCUCCUCCUUCACAAACCCCCAUGAGGAUUGCCAGAAAGCCAUUGAAAAACCAUCAGGCUUGGGUGCUUUAUUCCCACUAAAGCCCUUAAGAGCCUUGAAAACCUCCUGCUUAGAAAAAGGCUCCUCUAGCCUUGCCCUAUCAACCGCCUCCAACCUUGCAAAAGACAGACCACUAAUACUGGGCCUCCACCCUCCUACAGUAGACAAUAGAAGCUUAAACUCAUUCACCACCCCUUCUCUGAUCUCAUUUUCCUUUGUUGACCACACACCAUUGAUUUUAACCCGUGCCAUCGAACUCCUCAUGUGCGCAUUAGCCAUCUUGUGGAAAAAUCUAGUGUUUCUGCCCCCCUCUUUGAGCCACAACUCCCUUGAUUUAUGCCACCAAGAAAUUUCUUCUAGGAGGACCCACUUUUUAAAAUCUUCAUUUGCACCUCUCCUAGCUUCCAACUCAUGAACAACAAGUGGCCGAGCAACCUCUACUUUGUCCCAAAAUUCCACCUGAUUCAAAGCCAAAGCCUUAUUAACUUCAACUUUACCAAAGAAGACAUUCUUGUUCCAUUCUCUCAGUAAUGGCUUCAAGGCUUUCAACUUCGCCCCCAAACAAAACUAGUAGUUCCAUUAAAAUUGAGACUCUCCCAUCAAGCUUGCAACUUAUCCUUGAAACCCUCCUCCUUCAACCACAUGUUCUUGAAUCUAAAAGGCAUUGGGCCUAUCCUCACCCCCACUCCCCCCUCCCUCCCAAUCUAGCAAAAUUGGAGAAUGAUGCGAAAUCGGUUUAAGGAGGACACACUGAACAACCCCUGUAAAGUGACCUUUCUAGUCCUCCAAAACCAAAAACCGAUCGAGCCUAGAAUUACAUUGAUUGUUUAGGCCCCCCGUUAAGUGUAAGGACCUCCCUGCAGAGGUAGGUCCCUUAGCUCUAAAUCCUCGAUAAUCUCACAGAAUCUCCUCAUUGUAAAGUUAAGUUUGCCUCCCCUACUACACUCCAUAAGAAACCUAAUCACAUUAAAUUCGCCUGCCACACACCAAGGACCUCCUCACAACCCUCUGACAACACCUAGCUCACCCCAAAAAGCUUCCUCUCCUUUUUUAGGGUGGGGCCAUAGACCCCUGUGAAAUUCCAGCAAAAGUCAUCCUCACAGUUCUUGAACCGACAGGAGAUUGAAAACAUUCCCACUUCCACUUCCAGUGAAUGUAACGCCCUAUUGUCCCAAAACGCCAACACACCACUAGAGGCCCCCCUUGAAUCAACGACCCCCUAUUCUAAACAUCUACCCACACCAAGGCUCCGGACUAUCCUUAUCGACAUCUCCUGCAUCUUAGUCUCCUGCAAGCAUACUAAAUCCACCUUGUGAGACUUAAUUAAUGCCUUGAUCACUUUUCUCUUCCCAUUGUCAUUCACCCCUCUUACAUUCNNNNNNNNNNNNNNNNNNNNNNNNNNNNNNNNNNNNNNNNNNNNNNNNNNNNNNNNNNNNNNNNNNNNNNNNUUGCUCCCCCUCCCCCCCUCAAAAAAAUGGAUGCUGCUCCCCUCUCACUCCCAUCUGCCCAUAUUACCCUCAACGGAUCAACAACCGCCUCUCCACCCUCAAUGGCCGUCCCAUCGAGAUCCCUAAGGCCCCGAUCAACAACCACCAUCGCUUUGUCCCCCUUAGAGAAAGAAGAAGAAGAAGGAGAACCCCAACCCCCAAAGCUAAGAGAAGAGCGAGGCUCAGAAGAAGAGUACUUGGCGACUUCCUUUAGCAGUGACUCAUCUGCUACAAACAUCCCCUACGCCUGAGCAGUUGACCCAGCUCUGCGACUCUCCUCGUUGAGACUCCAUUCCAAACCAGAGACCUUAACUUCAGGAGCCCUAAGCCCCUUUAAAGUUCCAGCAUUAGUCGCCUGGGUCGGACCCUUUUUACUUAAGUUUGGAGAACUGUGCUGACCCUCCUCCAUAGACCCAACAGCCCCCAAGGCCAUCAGAUUUUGGUCCACCCUAAGGCCCUUAAGUGUCGUAAGCCCACCCUUCUUUAAGCCCAUUGAGAUAGGCUCCUGGGCUCCAAAAGUCAGGCCACCCCUCUCCUUGUCAAACCCUACCCAAUAAACCUUGGGCCCACUCCUUCCCUUACUUAACCCCUCUCCAUCAUCUGGAAAAGGAUGCCUUUCCUCAACGAGUGCCUUCCCUCUCUCAUCUUUUCCUGCAAUUGCCACUGUAAUCCCAACCAUACCCACAACGUGCAAGUUAGAGUCAACACCUUUCUCCCUUACUCUGACUUUACCACUGAAACACACUGCUCCAUCCUUUGCAGCUUGUGUUUGCGCCUGUGCAGCCCCACACUUUUCCAUGUGCGUGAAUCCACUUGCCCUUCAUCUCUAACCUUCGGUCAUUCCUUUUCGUGCAUCGGCACCAUCGUUGUCACCCAUGGUGGCACUUCCCACCACAAUUGGAUUGCAAAACAAGAGGCACCCACCACCAGUUGCAACGUUCUAGGGAGGUCUUUCCCCUCAGACCUCACUAAGAGCCUAGCCCACUACAGCUGCACGAAGUUAGUUGUGUCGUCGUCCACAACAACAAACCCUCCACAACUAUCCCCCAACUCCCUAAACACCUCCCGAUUCCAAAAGUGUAAUGACAAGCCCAGUGCCCUCACCUAAUAUUGAUUAGCUUGAACCCCGCCCCUAAAACAUCUUGCCUCUAGUCCCCACUUCUCCAGAGAAAACACCUUGUCCUCAAAGUGCUGAACCCUCCCUCUUAACACCCUUUCCGCUUCCUUUGCAUCCACAAAUUCUGCCAAAAAAAGCCCACUGCCCAAAUGCGAAAAGCUCACUCCCCUUUUUAAAUUCCACAAGCGCACCCCCCAUCUCCUUAGCAUAGCCAAAUCCAGAACCAAAGCUACCUCUUCUCCCCACCUUCCCACUAGAUUGCACCCCAGUUGCUCCUCCUUACUUCUCAAGUUACUACCCCUAAGUUGGAGCCACACUGAGUCUCCUAAUCUUCCAGCCUUCGCCUUUGCCACCUCAACAAAGGUCUUUCUCUCGUCCUCUACCUUAGCCUGUUCUUCACCAUUCUCGUUAGCUCUAACUCCACCAAGGCCAUUACCCCGCUUAGCUUCAUCAGGGGUAACAACACCAAUUGAACGCUGUUUUUCCGCUAGCUUAACCCAACCCCUUAGGAUCCCCCUUCCCUCUGGAAAGACUAAACAUAACCUUUUUGCUUCCACAUCACGAACAGAGCAGAUAAUGAACCUUCUCGCCUCGCUUGAGCGUCUCUCCAAUCUAAAACUCCUUCCUUCCUCUACUUGACUUUUUGCACCUAUUCUAAACCUUUCCUCCUUACAACAUGCUUCCACCCCCUCCAGCAAGCAUCUUAAACUGAACUCGCCGAACCUAAUCCAUGAGGAGAAUCCUCUACUUUUCUCCAAGAUAAUACCACGUAACUUCCCACCAAUCUCCUCAACUGAAAUCUCGAAAGACUUCGACUCCAUAGCAAACCAACACCUACCACCCUCCCUCAUGACUCAAUAUAGUCCAAGGUGCACUUUAGAAGAUCCUUCCAAGAUUGGGAAUUGGAGGAGAUGACUCGUUUUUUGGAACAUAUUUCUGCGGUAAAGGUUCAAGAAAGGGAUGAUUCCUUAGUUUGGAAGAAUGAUGGGAGGGGAAAGUGUAAUGUCAAAUUGUAUUAUAGGUCUUUAAGGGUCGAGAAUAGCUUUUUAUUUCCAACCAAAGAGAUUUGGAAUUCGUAUGCCCCUCUUAGAACUUGUUUUUUUUGCUUGGGAAGCAGUUUGGGGAAAAUUUUUAAUGGUAGACAUGUUAAGAAAGAACGACUAGUCCAUGGUCAAUAGGUGCAAUCUUUGUAAAGAUAGUGAGGAAUUGAUGGACCAUGUUUUGAUUCAUUGUGGUAAGACAAGGGAGUUAUGAACUCUGCUGCUAUCAUCUUUUGGACUGGUGUGGGUGUACCCGGGUUCAGUGAGAAAUCUUUUUCUGGAAUGGAAAGUUAAGGGACUAGGGAAGAAGAGGAAAGUAGUUUGGAGAUUGACACCUAUUUGUCUUUUUUGGUGUAUUUGGGGAGAGCGAAACCGAAGAACGUUCCAAGAUGAAGAGUUGUCAAACCAAAGCUUGGGGAACCUCUUUUUGUAUACUGCCUGUGUACGUUGGGUGUGCCCCCUCUUUUGGCGUCUUCUUAAUUCAAUUUGCCUUUGUCUAUAAAAAAAAAUAAAAUAAUUACUGGUGUGAACAAGCUUAACUUUAGUUACCCUACAAGAGCCUCACUUGUUUUGUGAAACUAUUAGAUAUCCUAGAAGUUUUUGUUAUUAGGGAAUUAAAUGAAAAUGUAUAUCAAGCUACUUCAUUGUGUCUGGUCUAAGCUACACAUGGAGGGACAAGAUAGAUAGGUUCCAACUCUAGAACUAUUGGAAUAAAGAGUUUGAUAUCAUAUGAAAUGCUUGCAACUUGGCUUUGUAAGGUUGGUCAAAUUCUGAAGCACAAGGAUUAUUUAAGAUUUGUAGGAUCUGGACUUAGUUAGGAAUCACACCUUGGGGAUUGUUAUGAUCUAGUGAAAUCUAAGAAUGGAGAAGGUAGAGUGAUGUGUAGUUUAAGGUCAGCAAAGCAAAUUCUAUUUUCAAUUUGGUUAGAGAAGGUGGGGUAUAUCAAACUAACAAUAAAGAAAAAUGAAGAUUAAGAAACUCCAAUCAACAAAAAAAAGUCAAGACUUAGGAUCCAUUGGUAUUCACCAUGUAAUUCACUUCUGAGUAGCUUCUUCAGCUACACAGCCCCUAAUGGUUGUGUUUUCCAUAGUUUUCUGGAUUUUGGACCUUCCGUUUUUACAAGUGUCUAAACCUCUCAGGUCAAGGUGAGGGGAAAUCCUAUCACCUUCCCAUAGUUAGGCGAUAGCCUUGUUUUUUGCCUUUUGCCUUAGGCUAAAAGGAUUCUUAUUGUCUCAACAUCACCUUUUGCUUUAGACAACACUAGAUGAAAUAGAAAUUGAAAUUGAAAUUGAAUUGAAGAAGACCAAGUAAGGUAAAGGAAAAGCUGCAGAGAACAAGAAAACCAUACUGCUUAUGUUAUCAGGAGCAACAUAGAAUUCAUGGAAUUUGUCUAGAUUUAUAGAAGCUGUCCAGAUUCAUAGAAUCUGGUUUAGUCAAUGUUUUGUAUAUAUUUGCUAGAGAGUAGAUCAUGAAGUCAUUAUAGGAUUGAAUAGUUGUAUAUUAGACUUUUUCUUUCCUCUAAUAGCUGUACAGAUUAUGUAUUUAUAGCCUGUCAAACUUUUCUGAUCUAAAUAAGUGAGGAAUCAGUUUCUUCUGUCUUCCUUUCUUCCACUCAUAUAGUCUCACCAUAUCAGAGCUUGGAAGAAUAUUCUAAUCCUUUCCUAGCAAUUUUUUUUACCUUCAUUGCCACUGUUCCUUUCAUCACCUUUUUAUUCCUUCUUUUUUUUUUUUUCUGCCUAUUUGCGGUUCUUGCUAGCUUGAGUGGAGACAAAGCUCCUGGUCUGAAUGGUUUUUCUUUAGCCUUUUGGCAAUCUUGUUGGGAUAUUGUAAAAAAUGAAGUUAUUUCUUUGUUUAGUUUCAUGAUCUAGGUAACUUCGAGAGAAGCCUUAAUGCCACUUUUAUUGUGCUCAUUCCUAAGAAAGGGGGUGUAGAGGAUUUGAGGGACUUUCCAUCAGUUUGGUGGGGAGCCUCUAUAAGAUUCCAGCUAGCAUUUUGGCUAAUAGGCUAAAAAGAGUUGUUGGGAGAGUGAUUUCAAACUCCCAACAUGCUUUUGUGGUGGGAAGACAAAUCUUGGAUGUAGUCCUUAUAGCAAAUGAGGUGCUAGACUCAAGGUUGAAAAGCUAAGAAAGGAGGGUCAUCUGCAAAAUGGAUAUCGAAAAGGCCUAUGACCAUGUGAACUAGGGAUUCUUAUUAGCAGUCAUUGAAAAAAUGGGCUUUAGGGCAAAAUAGGUAAGGUGGAUGAAGUGGUGCAUAUCCUCAACUCGGUUUUUAGUUUUGAUUAAUGGGACCCCUACAGGUUUCUUUUAAAGUUCUAGAGGCCUAAGACAGGGAGAUCCUCUUUCCCCUUUUCUCUUUAUUUUAGCAAUGGAAGCACUUUCUCCAUUAAUCAGAAGAGUCAGUUAAGGUUUCUAAUGCAGAAGAGUCAGUUGGGGUGGUGGGGUGUAAAGUGGGCUCUCUCCUUUCUACUUAUUUGGGCCUACCUUUGGGUACUUCCUUCAAGUCUAUACCAGUUUGGGAUGUAGUAGAGGAAAGAUUUCAGAAAAGACUUGUGGAAAAGAUAGUAUUUAUCGAAAAGAGGGAGAUUUACUUUAAUUAAGAGCACUUUAUCUAGCCUACCAAUCUACUAGAUGUCUUUAUUUGUAAUCCCACGUAAGGUGAGCUUUAGAUUGGAAAAACUUCAAAGAGAUUUCCUUUGGGGGGAAGGAGAGCUCCAAAGAAGGCCCUGUUUAAUGAAUUGGUCAUUAAUUGGCUUGGAUAAAAAGGAUGGAGGUUUGAGGAUUAGAAAGUUGUCCACUUUGAAUAAAACCCUCCUUGGAAAAUGGAGCUAGAGAUUUGCUUAUGAGAAUGAGGCUAUGUGGAAGUUGGUGAUUGUAGGGAAGUAUGGAGAGGAAGAAGGAGGAUGGUGUUCUAGAGUUUUGAGGGAAGGUUAUAGGGUGAGUCUUUGGAAGGCAAACUGAAAUGGGUGGGAGGAAUUCAAUAAUAGGGUUGGUUUUAGGGUAGGAAAUGGUAGGAGGGUGAGGUUUUGGAAAGAUAGGUGGUGUGAGGAGGAUCCUCUGGCAAUGGCUUUCCUAGUGUUGUUUUCAAUUGCCAUUGAUCGAGAAGCUUAGGUAAACUAGAUGUGGGAGUAGGUUGGGAAAGGGGGUUGUUGGAACUGGGUGUUCAUAAGACAGAUAAAUGAUUGGGAAUUGGGAGAGGUGGAAGAGUUACUUAUUAGGUUGCAAGGACAAGUGAUUAGAAGUGGUGUUGAGGAUGUCAUGGCUUGGUGGUUAACAAAGGGAGGUACCUUUACGGUGAAGUCCUUUUACUCCUCCCUAGUAGGGUGCUCUCCAAGAGGCUUCCCGUUAGGUAUUGCGUGGUUUUUUUGCUUGGAAAUCAGUUUGAGAAAUUUUUUUAACUCUAGAUCAACUAAAAAGGAGGGGUUGGUGUUGUCCAAGCAAAUGUUAUUUGUGUAAAGGUGAAGAGGAGUCAGCAAACCAUAUCCUUCUCCACUAUCCAAAGGCGACCUUGUUGUGGCACCUCAUCCUUGCUCUUUUUAAUGUCCAAUGGGUAAUGCCUUUCUCAAUAAAGGAUGCCCUUCUUAGCUGGUAGGGAUCCUUUGUUGGGAAGAAAAGAAAGAAGGCGUGGAGAGUAGCUCCUUUAUGCUUAUUUUGGACCCUUUGGAAGGAGAGAAAUCAAAGAGCCUUUGAAGAUUCAGACUUGACAGACCAUGCUAUUUUACGUUCCUUCAUGUACAUGUUUUUGGAGUGGGUCAGGGUGCAUUUAUGGUCUAGCACUUUGCCUUUAUUUGAUUUUAUUGAUUAGCUGGGCUGUAAGUGAGGCGAGGGUGUUGUUUUUUUUUGAAUCCCUCCCCUUUUUUUGGCUUUGUAUACAUCGUGUAUGUUUUAGGUGCAUUUUAGGCGCUUUUAAUACAAUUGCUUUUACCUAUAAAAAAAAAAUAAUAAAUUUCUAAAAAACCUCCUACUGAAACAACUCAGCAGCGUAUGGAUCCAUCACAUGAUAAUCUAAUCCUACAUAUUACUUUUGACAAACUGAAUGGUAGGAUUUCUUGGGAAGAUGAUUUAAUUGCAUGGUACCAUUAAAGAACCAAAAAUCUUAGAUCUCUUUUUCAAAUAAUGGGAAGCUGAAAAUUUCUAGGUCAUCUCAUGGUUAAUCAACUUUGUGCAAUUUGAGAUCACUAACGUUUCCUAUUCCUUUCUACUGGAAAAGAAGUUUGGGAUGCGAUAACUCUGACAUAUUCCAAGAAAGGAAAUGUUGCUCGUAUAUUUGAGUUGAAGACAACAAUUCACUAUACAAAGCUAAGAAAUCUCACUGUGACUACCUGAAAACAACACUAUUACAAUAAUUCGAUUUGAAUUCACCAUACAAGAGUUCACUAUAUAGGUAUCACUUACUUCAAGCAUCAUCAAAUUCCAUAGCCAAGACAUUACCAUAAAAUCAUCUUCAUCCUAGGUGUCGAACUUCAGAUCCCCGAGUUUUGGGCCCUUUCCAAGCAUAUGACUCAAUUUGCCCUUCCCUUUUAGAAAGGUUCGAACAAAUUGAGACCUCUUCAAGUAGUUUUUUCCAUUCAACCGAUAACUUAGUUGGAUAUUUUGCAAAUCUUCGACUGAAACUAUGCUUGGUGUCUCUGUCACUUGAAUAUCGGAUGUGUUAGGCACCUUAGUUGCAUCAAACAUGAUGAUGUUGUGAGGGAAAAGAGAGAGAAAAAAUUAUGGGUAAUGAAGGCCAAGGAAAAUAAGGCAAACAUGAGAGUUUUCAGGCUGAAAGAAAAAAACUUUGCAAUUGGCAAUGAAGGCAUUAAGAAGAUUCUUGAAGGUGAUUGAUGAGUUGGCAUUGAGAGACCUUCUCUUACAGGGGGGGUUCGUUUACUUGGAAUGGUGGGCUAAAUGGGCAAACAAUGUCAAGAUUGGAUCGCUUUUUGGUGUUUGAGGAUUAGGAGAGUCAUUUUAGUGGGGUGGUGCAAAGCACUCUUUCUAGACUAGUGCUUGAUCACUACCCUAUUCUACUAGAUGGGGGAGGGAUGAGGAGAGACCCUAUUCCUUUUGGUUUUGAGAAUAUGUGGUUGAAGGAGGGGUUUAAGGAUCUGUUGAAAGGCUGGUGGCAAGGGUUUAAUUUCAAGGGCUCUUGCAGUUUCAUUCUAGUAGCAAAGUUGAAGGCCGUAAAGAGUAAUUUGAAAACCUGGAAUAAGGAGGUGUUUGGGAAGGUGGAGGUUAACAAGAGCUUGGCGUUACAAUAAGUGAAUUUAUGGGAUAAUUAGGAAAGGUCUAGUGCCUUAUUUGUGGAGGAGGUGGAGGCUAGGAAGGAGGCAAGAGAGGAAUUGAAGAAAUGGGUCCUCUUGGAGGCAAAAAUCUAAAGAAGUGUGGCUGAAGGAAGGUGAUAGGAAUACGGGUUUUUUCCAUAGGAUGGCGAAUUUUCAUAGAAGGAGUAACCUGACCAAGAUUAAAAUUAACGGAACAUGGUUAGGUGAGGAGCAUGAAAUAUAGGGGGGUGUUGUUAGUGCUUUCCAACACCUAUUGUCGGAUUCUGAUGACUGGUGUCCAAGCUUGGAUGGACUGGUAUUCAAGAGAUUAGUAGGGGAAGAGGCAGCUAGGCUAGAGGAGGCUUUCUCUGAUGAAGAGGUAGUCUUUACUCUCUUUGAUCUAAGCGGGAACAAAGCUUCGGGGUCGAAUGGUUAUUCCCUAGCUUUCUGGCAGUCUAGUUGGGAAUUUGUGAAGGAGGAGGUGAUGGGUUUUUUCCGAGAAUUUCACGAGGUUUGUUAGAAGUCUGAAUUCUACUUCUUUGGUUUUGGUUCCAAAAAAGGGUGGUGUUGAGGACCUGAGAGAUUUCAGACCUAUCAGUUUGGUGGGAGGGCUGUGCAAGUUGCUAGCAAAGGUGUUAGCUAAUAGGUUGAAGAAAGUGGUGGGUAAGGUGGUAUCCUCGUCUCAAAAUGCUUUUGUUGAGAGGAGGCAAAUUCUGGAUGUAGUGUUAAUUGCUAAUGAGGCUAUAGAUUUUCUACUGAAAAGCAAUGAGUGCGAGGUGUUGUGCAAGCUUGACUUAGAAAAGGCUUAUGACCACCUAAAAUGGGAUUUCCUGCUCCAGGUGUUGCAGAAAAUGGGGUUCGGAGAGAAAUGGGUAGGAUGGGUUAAGUGGUGUAUUUCUACAAGAACUUUCUCUAUUUUGGUUAAUGACACGCUGACAGGAUUUUUCAACAGCUCAAGGGGGUUGAGACAAGGGAACCCUCUUUCGCCCUAUCUUUUUGUGAUAGGAAUGGAAGCCUUAUCCUAUUUGAUUAAGAGAGCAGUUAGUGGGGGCUAUUUGACAGGUUGCAGGGUUAAAAGGAAGGGUGGUGAGGGAGUUCAACUCACCCAUCUACUGCAUGCUGAUGAUAUGCUGAUUUUUUGUGAAGCCUUUGAGGAACAACUGACUCACCUAAGUUGGGUGUUAAUGUGGUUUGAAGCCAUCUCUGGUUUAAGAAUUAAUUUGGACAAAAGUGAGAUCCUACCAGUGGGGAGGGUGGACAGUUUGGAGGAGUUGACCCUUGAGCUUGGGUGUAAGGUGGGGACGCUUCCUUCCUCGUACUUAGGGCACCCUUUGGGUGCCCCACACAAAUUAGCUGCUUGGGACGGGAUGGAGGAGAGGUUUCGGAGGAGAUUAACUAUGUGGAAGAGACAAUAUAUAUCUAAAGGAGGGAGACUCACUCUCAUUCAAAACACUUUGUCCAGCAUGCCUAUUUACCAUAUGUCUAUUCUGCGUAUGCCUAGAUCGGUUAGAUUGAGAUUUGAGUAAAUCCAAAGGGAUUUCCUUUGGGGUGGGGGGGCUUUGGAGUGGAAGACUCAUUUUGCUAAAUGGGCGGUUGUAUGCUCGGAUAAAAGGAAGGGUGGUUUGGGUGUUGGAUGCCUUUCUACACUUAAUAGAGCCCUUUUGGGUAAAUGGAGUUGGCGCUUAAUGGUAGAAAGGGAAGCUCUUUGGAAACAAGUUAUUAGUAGGAAGUAUGGGGUGGAAGAAGGGGGGUGGUAUACCUGUGAAGGAAGAGAGGGAUUUGGAGUGGGGUUAUGGAAGGAGAUUAGGAAGGAAGGUUCUUUGUUGAGCAACAACAUUGUGUUUUCCGUGGGUAAUGGUAGAAGAGUUAGAUUUUGGAAGGAUUCAUGGUGUGGUGCUGAGGCUUUUUGCAACUCUUUCCCCUCUUUGUUUGCUUUGGCGGUUUUGAAAGAGGAGUGGGUGUUGGAGGUUUGGGACCCUUCGGUUGAGGGGGGGAGUUGGGGUUCUCGUUUUUCUAGGGCUUUCAAUGAUUGGGAGGUGGUUUUGGUGGAACGGUUGCUCAUGACAAUUCAAGGGAAGAGGGUUAGCACAAAAUGGGAGGAUAGGGUGGUAUGGAAUAAGACAAAAAGUGGGAUUUUCCUAGUUAAGUCUCUCUACAGUGCAGUAGAGUCGGGAAAUACAGUCUGGUUUCCAAGUAACAUCAUUUGGAGUCCUUAUGUUCCUCUCAAAGUGGUUUUUUUUUUUGCUUAGGAAGCCUUGUGGGGGAAAGUUUUUACAUUGGAUCAGCUUAAGAGGAGGGAUUGGACCCUAGCUAAUAGAUGUUUCUUUUGUCUAGCCAAAGAGGAGUCUACUAAUCACAUCUUAAUCCACUGCUCGAAGACUAGGGUUUUGUGGGAGUUAUUAUUUGCUCUCUUUGAGGUGACUUGGGUUCUCCCUUGCUCGGUAAGGGAGACUCUUCUUGGAUGGUAUGGGUCCUUUGUUGGCAAAAAGCGCAAAAAAGCUUGGAAGCUGGUUCCUUUAUGCCUUUUUUGGACGGUGUGGAAGGAAAGAAAUAGGAUGACGUUUGACAAUGAAGAGUUUUCAAUUCAUUGGUUGAAGUAUUAUUUUGUGUGUAGUUUUUGGUUUUGGACAAAGUUGUAUAUAGAUGCUGGAUCUCUACCUUUAAUCAACUUUUUUGAUUGGUUGGGUUUUAGGUGAGGGCGGGUGAGGUUUUUGUUUCCCCUCCUUUUUGUUCUUCUUUGCCUUAUGGUGCCUACUAUAUAAUUCCUGUAUGCCUUGGGUUGUCCUCCGGGCUUCCUUUUUUAUAAUUUAUAUAUUUUGUGUGUUUACCUAUCAAAAAAAAAAAAAAAAAAAUGGGCAAUGAAGGCAAAAAUAAAUAAGAAUAUAUGGCUUCAAGGUACUCUGUUUUGCCUCGAAAAGACGGAGGAAGAUUGGGUACUGCAGCAGUUUCAAUGAUUGAGACAGCAAACACCUAGAGAAAAAAAUAUUCAGCAAUGAAGGUUGAAAAGAAAAUAUCCCAAGGAGCCAAAUUUGGCUCUAAUACCAUGUGAAAAUAUGGGAAUGUUAUUGAUUAAUUUGCCAUUGUACAUGGAAAAAUAUACAGGCUAACAAGAGUCAACUAAAUCCCUACAAAACUGGGAUACUGAUUCUUAAAAAAAAUAGAAAAUGAAGAAAUUUGAGGGAGAGAAAAAAAUACUUCUUUUUAUUUUUCUCACCUCUUUCAAACUGAUUCUUGUAUUGAUAUUUAUACAUGAAUGGCUGAGAUCAUUACUUUAGAAGAAGAAAUCUAAUCCUUGAUUUUAGGAGAAAGUCUCUCAUAAAUUCAGGAAACAAAAAUAAGAAUAGGAAAUAACUAUAUCACAAUAGCUGUAACAUAACUCUAACACAGCUGUAGCUCGAACAUAGUUGUGCAUACAGCUGCACCAUCCAUUAAGAAAUUCCAUUAUGGAAAGGAAGAUGCUAGACACCCAUUGAUCUUAACCACAAAUUGGGGUUUAUUAUAGAAAGAAAUUCCAUUAAGAAAGGAAGAAGCUAGAGGCUGGUGGGAAAAUUGAUUUACCUAUCCCAUAUAAGACCAAACAUAGCUUAUGCCGUAAGUAUGGUAAGUUAGUUAAUGCAUUCUUCAUUGGAAUGUCACGUGGACAUGGUUCAAAGAAUCUUGAAGUAUUUAAAGGUUAUUUUUGGAAAGGACUCUUGUCACCUUCAAAUAGAAGUUUAUAUGGAUGCAAAUUGGGUUGGUUUUCUUGUGGAUAGAAGGUCAAAUGGGAUAUUGCACUUUUGUUAGAGGUAAUCUUGUUACAUGGAGAAGCAAGAAACAGACCACUGAGGUAAGAUCCAGUGCUGAAGCUGAAUUUUGGACUAUGAAUCAAGGAAAUUAAAGGACUACUCAAAAGAGUUUAAAUUGAAGUCUUAUGAUGGUAAAGUUGCAAUUGGUAUUACUUAUAGUCCAGUUUAACAUGAUCAUACUAAACAUAUUGAGGUAGAUAGACAUUUCAUCAAAGAAAAAAUUGAGAGUAGAUAGAUUUCCACGCUUUUUGUAACAACUAAGCAACAACUCACAGAUGUCUUUACAAAAGGAAUCUCAAACAUCAUGUUUGAAUCUAUAAUUGGCAAGCUGGGAAUGCAUGACAUCUAUCACCAGCUUGAUGGGGAGUGUUAGCAAGAGCAACAUAGAAUCUGUCCGUAUUCAUAGAAUAUGGUUUAGUCAAUGUUUUAUGUAUAUAUGAUGGGCACAAAUAAUUGAGUAAUUUUAAGGAUUGUAUAGAUGUAUAUUAAUUAGUUUUUUCUCUAAUAGCUGUACAGAUUGUGUAUUUAUACCCUGUAAAAUGUUUCUAGUCUAAUUAAGUGAGGAGUUGUUUUCUUCUCUCUUCCUUUCUUCCACUCACAGCUUGAUCCCUGAGCUAAAGGGGAAUGCAUAAAACUUCCUAAAUUGUCGAUUUUUCAGCUAUAGCAAGGAGAAUCUCUCAAAUUGUGUAUACACUGCCAUGUGAUAACUUACAAGAAAAAUAUCAAUUUCAGUGCAAAGGACCAGCUUCACAUUUUGGAACCCCGACUGUUCUCCAGUGCAAUAAGUGAGCACUGGGAUGACAGUGCUUCUUCUGCGAACAACUUUUGUUGAGACUUUUUCAAGGUGUGGAGUUGAACGAGCAUGGGGAGAACUGCCAUGAUGUGCUCCUUCGUCAGUACUGGGAUAAUCAAGGACUACCAAAGGGUCUAAUUCAGUUCUCCAAUCCUGUAUAUGUCAAUGCUAUAUAUUUUUUGAUUGGAAACGACACAAAGAUUUAUUGAUAGAUAAAAAUAAUUACAAAAGAAGGAUGAGGAAUCCUCUUGCCAAAGAAAGCUAAGCUAAAGAAAAAUACACUGAAAACAAGCAAACACUAAAAAGACCACUCCUUAUGGAGUACACGCUGCUAUCCAAUCAAGAUGUAAUGCAUUAAGGGGAGUCCCCUUAAAAACCUUGGAACAAUAAGCCCAAAGAGAAGCAAGGAAAACAAUAGAGUCCCAUAGAAACUCUGAAUUCCUUGCUUUAUCCUCAAAAAUCCUCGCAUUUCUUUCCCUCCACACAAUCCGAAUAAGAGCGAUGUUUGCAGCUUGCCACAAGGCUAUCCCCCUCUUAGACGAACCAAAUCCAUUGAAUUUGAUGUACAUCAUGUCAAUGCUAUAUAUGGCCAGCCACUGCAUGCAAACCUCUUCUCUGUUCUGCUGCUGGGCCUUCUAUGCUUGAUCUACACAUGACCAGUGCCAGGGGCAUUACACCAUAAUUCAGCUCUGCACUCUAUUUCCUCUUUUAACUCUCUGGCAUUAACACUGUUGCUGUUGGUUCUUCAAAGCUUAUUCCUGGUUUUCCAAAAGCUGGUUAUCCAGUUCUUUUCCUGGCGCUCCAACUUACAUUUCCUGCUCUCCAGCACUUUGCAUUUCCCAUAAUUCUUCUUUUUCUAUUCCCCAAUUCGUUCCUCCAUCCGAACCAAGAGCUUAUUUAAUCCUCUAGAAACACUACAAAAACUACCAAAAGCCUAUUAGACAAACGAGAAUGGGGCUAAGCAUAAAAUAUGGCUGAAAGGAAUGUAUUGAUAACUGAAAGUCAUUGAGAGGUAUCGAUGGGAACUCAAUAAUGCAAUGUUUUGAGUUCUCAUCACGAAACUACCAGUUACUUAAAAAGUUUAAGCUAUUAUGGAAUGAGACAAUAAUAUAUGUCAAGCUAACUUGCUUUCCUUAAGAUAUCAUGACUUAAGGUUGGUUCGACUAGAGCUGGGUCUAUUGCAUUCCAUGUGUUGUUCUAUGAUGAUUAUUUGAAUUCCUAUAAAACUUCACAAAACUUCUUGAAUUAAUUCCAGUUCUGAAGCAACUGAAAUUUAACCCAUAUUGGGCACUAAGUAUAGAACCAAGUCAAAGUUUAUAAAAAUAAUAUUGGAAAGUCCUUUUCUAAAAUGAUUGUUUCUGUUAAAAAAUGUUUAAAAUAGUUAUUUUAUUUUAUUUUAGUACAAACUUCAAAAAGAAAGAAAAAAAAAAAUGGAAGAAGAAGAAGAAACAAAAUGUGCAGGAAUAGUAUGUUCUGUAUGGUUGUCUUAGUAUAUGGUCAAGGUGUUAUCCAUAUUAGCUUAAGUAUAUUAUAUUGUGCAUAUGAAAUAAUAUAUUUAAAGUGGCAUUAACGAGUAUUCCACAUGCAUUGUAGGCUGUUGGAUUAGUAGGGCAGCAAGAUACUAGAAGAUUGGAUCUUACAAGAAAUGGUUUACAAGUGCAGAAAACAAAAGUUGGACCUUUUGGAUCCCUUCUUUUUGACUCUGCCGUUUCUGUUUCCUCUGGUCCUGGGUGAGUGAGCUUCUCAAAACACGUCUCUAAAUGGCAACUUGAGGCAUGGUUCAUUUAGGAUCUUUAUUGUAUGGAUGCACUCAUAUAUAACUCACAAAAAUUUGCAUGUCUGAUACUGCAUGCUUUGUUUUCCUUCUCUGUGUGGUUAAUUUUGUUAGUUGACAUUCUCUCAUACAAUAACAUUGUGCCAGAAAAGAUGGGACUGAGAAUAAUUAAAGAAAUCACAAUGCAAAGGAACACUUGGGCAUCAUGUGAGAGAAUUCUCCUAACACUGCAUUCCAAACAAAUAUGUUUCCAUCAUUAAGGACGUAUAUGGUUAAUUGUGGAUAAUGUAAAAACAAGUGGCAUGCCAACAGGUCAUAAUUCGUAGUUGUCUUGUAGCCUUGAGUUUUUCUCUCAAUUCACUGGAUUUUGAAGGAUUAGCCUUAUGUUUAAGAAAGAUUUUAUGCUGGUUGAUGUACAUUAGAUUAAAGUUUUUUGAGCGGAUAUUUAGAAUCCAGGUGGUAUUCCAUUGUUAUCUGUGUUCAUUGUUUUUCUCUAGUUGAGUUGAAACAAGCUCAUCAUAUCAUCUUAGUCAAAAGUACAAGAAAGAUGAGAUCCCAAAUUUGAAUAUGGGUGUUUCUAAGUUCUGUAUUGGCUGAACUAUCAACCUAGAGUCCUUUUGCAUAAUUUCUAAGCCUCAAUCCAUUCAAAUGAUUCAAAAUCACGGGCUUAAACUUAUGCUUAUUUAUUCAAUCUUACGUCUAAGCCCCAUUUUCAGAAUUUAUUAUUCUAAGCCUAUGAUCCAGUAUUUUCAGGUUUUUCAAAAAUAGGGUUCCUUUCCAAUAAGAAGGUGUAUUAACCAUUAUCAUGAAGGUCUUUAACAAUCGUAUGGUUUAUUCGUCCCUCAUUAAAUCUUUAAGGUUUCAAAACUCUAGGUUCAAAAUCAGUGGAGGAACCAACAAAUGGGUUGAGGCGGGGCAAGAUCUGGGUAUUAAUUUCAGUGGGAGAGUCUAUCAAAAUAAAAAUAAAAUAAAAAUUCAGCGGGGGCAAAAAUUGAACAAAUUGCAUGUAUAGCCUAAUGGUAACUAAGGAAUUCAUUUCAUUCCUCAUAUUUGAGAAAGGGAUCAAAUCCCCCUUUAUGCACAAUUGUUUUUUCUUUUAUUCCUUUUUCCCAGAGGGAGGAGGCAGGGGGCAUAUGCCCUCCAGGGCAUGCCUUGCCUCCACCACUGUUCAAAAUACAAGGAAAAAAAAACGAUAUUUUGAUCCCUUACCUUAAACCUUGGAGACUAAGAGAAAAAAUCUCUUCCUUUUUCAUCUUCCACCUUCUCUCUCUCUCUCUCUCUCUCUCUCUCUCUCUCUCUCUGUGAGGUGGUGCUUUAACAAAAAAAUGGUUUGGAGUUCUAUAGUUUUUCAGGGCUUUCUACUCUUCUGUGACUAAUCUUUAAUGCCCCUCACUUAUCUUUAUAAUGUGCAAACCUUAGCUUAGAAGUUUCCAGAAAAUGUCCUUAAAAUCUCUCAGUCCCUUGAUUAAAUUAAGAACCCAUUGAAAUGGUUUUCUACUAUAAAAACCAUUUAUUUAAAAACAUUAAACCGCAUCCUAAGGUUGGAUUAUUUCAAAAGAAAAGGAUCUACUAAAUUGUGGAAAACCUAAAAUUUGGUUUUGGGUUUGUUUAUCAUAAAAGGUUUACCAAGGGAUAAAACAUUGAAAAUGUUCUCACAUUUUCUGAAUAUUACCAUUUACAACCAACAAUUUUUGGUGGAAAAACUCGCCCUUAAAAUAAAAUAUUCUCAAGUCCAGUCUGCUCUUUGACCACAGUACCUUGAAAAAAAAAUCAGGGGUAUUUUACAUUAGUUGUGGACAACUAUCCCAAAUCAUGUGUUUUCCCUAUGAUGGAAAGCGAUUUAUCUAUAUUAAAAAAAUUCAUUAUUGCAUCAUAUUCGCACUAGGUAAAUGCCUCCUUUUUGUCUAGAAAAAGUUGGAAUUAUUCAUAAUAACAUAUUGAAACUGCAUUCCAUUUAAUCAAGGAUGUGUGUCCUAGAAUACUGCAUUCAGAUGUGAAAUUACACGACUCGUAAAUUGGUGAAAAAUUAAUAUUGCAUUGACAAACAAAAAAGUAGUCACAAGGAACUUUUGAAUUGGAAAGCUUGGUUAAUCAGAUGGAUGCAGCAAGAUGAAUGCCCGCCAUUAACUGACCUGAAAGCUCAUAUUGGUACUAUGUAAUUGUGUUUCAGCAUUCAAUUCAUUUUUUUUUUUCUGUAAACAUAUUUUUUCUCCUGGAACUCUUGAAUGUAAACAGUUACUUUUGUUCCUUAUUGAGAAAAUUUGUAAAUCUAUGUAACAUAAAGCUUCUAGUAACUAAUGGUAAUGGACUUAGGUUAUUUGCUUUGGUUCACAUGGUUGAGGAUCAUCUGUCUUCAUUUGCAUCUUUGACUUGAUUUACAAAAUUCACAUCUCUAUCAUAUAUUUAUAUUCAGGUCCGAAACAUGGGUGCUGGAAUUUGUGGACUUAGGAGGUGAAAUGAGACGAGAUGUCUGGUAUGCAUUUAUUAAUGAAGUUAUUGCUUUAUACAAGUUCAUAAAUGAGUAUGGAGCAGAGGAUGGUGAUCAAUCUGUAUUUCAUGUGUAUGGUGCUCACAAAGGGAAGGAAAGGGCUAUCACCGGUGCAAUGAACAGUAUUGCUAGACUUCAGGCCCUUCAAUUUAUCCGGAAGUUGUUGGAUGAUCCAAUUAAACUUGUUCAGUUCUCAUAUUUGCAAAAUGCACCCUAUGGAGACAUUGUGUUGCAAACUCUAGCUGUUAAUUAUUGGGGUGGACAGUUAGUCACAAAAUUUAAGGAGGCAGGCUAUCUACCAGAUCGAGGAUCAAGGUCUUCUGAUGAUGUGUUUGAAAGUAGUAACCAUGUAUUUGACAUAGAUGGAAGUGUCUACUUCAGGAAGUGGAUGAGAUCUGCAUCUUGGGUUUCUAGUUCCUCUAUAGCUUUCUGGAAGAAUGCGUCAAUAAAACAAGGGGUUGUAUUAAGUAAAAAUCUUGUCGUGGCUGAUACUACUCUUGUAGAAAGGGCAGCGGUAACAUGCAAACAUAAAUACCAAGUGGUUGAGAAAACACAAGCCACAAUUGAUGCAGCAAUGCUUAAAGGGAUACCCAGCAACAUUGACCUUUUCAAGGUUGGGCCGUCAUUUCAUUUAUUUUUAUUUUCAAUCCUAAUUUCUUUUCUUUUUCCCUUUUUUGUUGUUGUUUAGUUUUUUCAUUAAGUGUUUCUAGUGCAAAACUUUCCGUUGAAUCCCAUAUUAUCAUCACUUUGAUGCAUCUUUGAUAAACUGCCGCACUGGUUCAAAUAUUUCAACUAAGCAUGAUUUUAAGAAAGGAUAAAUUUCACUCGCCUCCUUUGAGGUUUGGGCUAAAUAUACUUAGCCACCAUGAGUUUGAAAUUUGAUCAAAUACCUCCCUUAUUUUGAAUUAAAGGGAGGUGAGCAAAAAACACAAAUAAGAAGCAAAGUGGAGGUAUUUGAUGAAAUUUCAAAUUACUGGUGGCUAGGUGUAUUUACUUCAAACCUUAGGGGAGAUGAGUGAAAUUUACCAUUUUAAGAAACUAUAUGAGUUGAUUCUUCUCUAGAGGGAUUGAAGUUAUAUUUCUAAUGUUUGUUUCAAUAAUGAAAUUACUAGUUAAUAUCGGAUUUUUGCAUUUGUGCAGGAACUUAUACUUCCUUUGACUGUCACUGCCAAGAAUUUUGAAAAACUUAGGCGCUGGGAGGAGCCGCACUUGACCGUCUCCUUUCUUGCAUUUGCAUAUACACUUAUUGUCAGGUAGAUUAUUAUGACAAUGUUGUUUGGAAGAAUUUUUGUUGUAUACAGUUUGGUUUUGAAUUCCUGAAUUCAAGUUUACAUAGUGCUCAGGUGAUGUUUGAAAGUUUUAGUAACUUCCUACUGCCAAGAUAAUUGAUUAGUUUAUAAUAUUUGACUGCUACAUGUUUUCUGUUGAUGAUAUUACAGUAGUUUCCUUUUUAUGAAACCAAUGUCCUGCAAAGGUUGUUAUUUUUAUUUUUUAUUUUUUAUUUAUUUUUAUUUUUAUCUUUAUUUUUUGGUGUUAGAAUAUUUGCUUUGAUCAUAGCUCUCAAUUUUACAACAUCCCUUUCUAAAUAUUUUUUGAGAGAUGAAAUCAGUUCUGGACGUAAUGCUGUAAACCUUUGUGUCGCUAUUGUGUUGCUUGAAGAAACUAGAAAAAUCAUUAGUUUUUUCCAGUUUCUUAUUUUUCUUUUUUACUUUGGCUAUUUGCUAAAAUACCAGCUACUGCAAGGAUAGUUUGGUUUGCAGGAAUAGGAAUGAAGGUGAAUUGGAAUACCAUGUGGAAGAAAGGAAUCAAAAUUUUUAUAAGAGUGGGUUUUGGUUUCCAUGAUAAUGAUUUUUUAUUCCUAUUUCCAUUUCUAGUAAGUAAUCCAAACACAGUAAUGAAUGGGAAAAGGAAUGGAUUUUCCAUUCCCAUUCCAUAUUCUUGUAUACCAAGUGUACCCUAGAAGUUCAAGUUAUUAGGGAAUGGACCAACAAUGUAUAUUAAGCUAACAUCCUCCCCCACCGCUAGUGGAGAGAGACAAUAAUCCUAGACAAACAAACAGACCGAGAGGCUCAAACUAGAGAUUUCUUAAGGUCCAGAGCUUUGCUAUCAUAUUCAACUAGCUAUUACCCAAAAACUUAACCUGAUAGGAAAUGGUCCAAUGAUCUGUAUUAAGCUAAUAAUAUGCAUGAUGGAAGUGAAAUGCAAGGAGGAUAGAUGUUUAGUAUCACUACAAGAACCCUAGGAAUGAUCAAUUUGGGUUUGAAGCCGCUUCAGGGUUAAGGAUCAAUUUGGAUAAAAGUGAAAUAAUCCCAAUUGGCGAGGUGGAAGAGAUGGAGGAGAUGGCAGCGGAAUUGGGCUGCAAGGUGGGCUCUAUGCCUUCUGUGUAUUUCGGGCUGCCAUUGGGGGCUCCUAACAAGAGUACCGCCGUGUGGGAUGGGGUGGAAGAGAAGAUGAGAAGAAGACUUGCGCAUUGGAAACGUCAAUAUAUUUCCAAAGGUGGGAGACUUAUUCUCAUUAAGAGCACGAUGGCUAGUAUGCCAUUGUAUCAAAUGUCUCUCUUCCGUAUGCCUAAGUCGGUUGCGCGAAGGUUAGAAAAAUUGCAAAGGGAUUUUCUUUGAGGAGGAGGAAACUUAGAAAGGAAAGUGCACCUUGUUAAUUGGGAGGUUGUGUGUACGGAGAAGGAAAAGGGGGGGCUUGGCUUAAGGAAGCUAAUCCCGUUAAACAAAGCUUUGUUGGGAAAAUGGAUUUGGAGGUUUGCUUGUGAAAAGGAAAAUCUGUGGAAACAAGUGCUUUUGGCGAAAUAUGGGCAAGAGGGAUUUGGUUGGAUGACCAAAAAGGCUAAUGGGACGUUUGGAGUAGGGGUUUGGAAGGAAAUUAUGAAGGAAAAAGAUUGGUGUUGGGAAAAUAUGGCUUUUACUAUGGGGAAUGGUACCAGAAUCAGAUUUUGGAAUGAUCUUUGGUGCGGGUGUACAGUGUUGUCCCAAAGGUUUCCUCACCUUUAUGGGAUGGCUNNNNNNNNNNNNNNNNNNNNNNNNNNNNNNNNNNNNNNNNNNNNNNNNNNNNNNNNNNNNNNNNNNNNNNNNNNNNNNNNNNNNNNNNNNNNNNNNNNNNGGGGUACAAUCCUAAUUUAAAAGAGGAUGUUGCUUUUUUGGAAAGGGGGAAGAAACAGACAGUUUAAAGUAAAAGAAGCCUACAACUUGGUGGUAAAUACCGUGGCUAACAAUUUUCCGAAGAACAACAUUUGGGUGGAUAAAGUUCCAACAAAAAUUCUGUUUUUUGCAUGGGAGGCUACUUGGGGCAAGGUGCUUACGCUAGAUAGGCUUCAGAAAAGAGGGUGGCAUCUCCCUAAUCGGUGUUUCUUGUGUGGCUGCGAAGAGGAAACUGUAAAUCACAUUCUCAUACAUUGUAUAGUGGCAAAAGUCCUAUGGGAUAUGAUAUGUGCUUUGGUUGGUGUUCAGUGGGUCUUUCCAGAAACUGUAAAGGAGGUCUUAUUAAGCUGGAGGAAACCUUUUGUAGGGAAAAAAAGGAAAAAGAUAUGGAAGUCUAUACCGUUGUACAUCUUUUGGACCCUUUGGAGGGAAAGAAAUAGGCUUGCUUUUAGGGGGAGGGGGUGAUAGAUAUUCAGAAAUAAAAAAAUUCAUUUGUCUGUAAUUUAUGGUGUUGGGCGAGAAUGUAUAGUGGAGAGAGGUCGCUGUCUCUUAUAGGCUCCUUGGAGUGGAUAGCCUCCACAUAAGGGCUGGUGGGGUUCUUUUGUUUUCUUUUUUGGUUGUAAGGCUUAGCUAGAUUGUAUACUCCUUGUAUACGUGUGGCUUUUUGGCCUCUUAUCAAUAUAUUCUGUGCUUACUUAUCAAAAAAAAAAAAAAAAAGAAUCCUAGGAAUCACUCCUAGAAACCUUUAGGCUUCACACCUAGUUGUUGUUUGUGUCACACAAAGAAAAUAGUGGAGGUUAGAAAUUUUAUCAUUCAUUCAUUGAUUUUUUUUAGAAGAUAGAUUGACUGCUAUAUAGAACUUCUCCAAAGACUUGUUAACUUCUUGGAACUAUUCACAUGGUAGUAACAUAGCUUGAAAAUAUUAGAAGUUAAGAAUGUCUACUAGGAUGAAUCCAUAUUAAAUUAUAUAAGAUCCUAGCUAAGCUUAUUUUCAUCCUAAGAAUGCCAAAUUAAAGUUUGGACCUUAGAGUUAAAGCCCAUUCCUUUGCGCCUUUGGUAAGCUUUUAAAGGUGGCUGCCACUUGUUUCCAUCAACUCCCCUUGGCUUAGGAAAACUCAACCUUGAUAAAUUAAAUGCAUGAAAUCUCUCAUCAAGGUCAUGAUUCAAGUGUUAAAAUUCUCUAUCUUCAAUCCAUAUGGAGUUUGAAAUUGGCUUGCCUAUCCAUUUGAUGAGAUACUUUUGAUACAACCAUCCUCUUGUUGAAACAAUUUGGUGAUUAGUAACGUCUUCAAUUUCUUCCUUCAUUUGAAGGGCUGGUUGUGGGUGAGCAUUUGGACCAUUUGUUGUAGCAUCUUUAGGAUUAGAACAUAAGGUUAGGCCCUCAAUGUUGAAGAUGUUACUAAUGCCUAUAUUUUCUAACAAAUAAAGAAUAUAAGCAUUGGAGCUAAUUUUCUUGAGCACUUUGUAUGGGUCAAUUAUUCUUUGAGUCAAAUUUCUUGUAUGCGCCUUUAGGAUUUUUUUUAGGCCUUAUCCUUGCCAUAAUUGUAUCUCUUGUGCAAUGUUUUCAAAAUCGGACCGGUUAUUGAACUGAAAAAGUUAUCGGUUCACAGUUCACUGGUCGGACUAGCGGUUGAAUUGCGGUCGAACUGGUGACGUCAUAAAUUUAUAUUUUAUUAUUUUAUAUAUUAUUAAAAUUAAAAAAAUAAUAAAUUCUAUCUAAAUUUUUAUAAUAUCUAUCAAAAUUGUGAUAAAAAAAUAAAAAUAACACAUUAAAUAAUAAAUAUAAAAGUAAUAAAACAUAAAAAAUAAAUUUUAAAAAAUAAAAAUCAAACGUUGGAGCAGCUACUGCCACUGCACAGGCCGGGGGGGGAGUGGUUUACAACUGGCCGGAGGGGGCUUACAGCGGCAAGGGUUGGCUUGCCGACUUGCAACGGCACGAUGGAGAAGAGGCGACAGUGUUACGGCCGGUGGAGGGAGAUUUUGCAUAGUGAAACGGCCGACGGUGGGAGCCUAUCACGGCGUGUUGGGGGCGGGCUGGAGGCAACGGCAGCUGCUACAGUUUGGAGAGGGAGGGCUUGGAAGGAGGUUUUAUAUCCUCCAAAACAACGUCGUUUUGAUGCUGAAAAGAAAAAAAGAAAAAUUAAUUGAACCAUUCGGUUCGGAGGGAAUCGUCCGGUUCACCAGUCGGACCGCCGGUUCAAUCCCGGUUCAACCUAUUUUUGGUUUAAUUGACUGGAUCGGACCAAAACCGUGAUCGGCCGACGGUCGGACUGGCUGAUCCAGUCCGGUUUUUAAAACCAUACUCUUGUGUUAAAAUCAGUAGACUUCCUAUUCAAAUCAGCAUGUGCCUUGUAAUUCUCAUUACUAAGAGCAAUUUUCCAGACAUCAUCAUGUAUAUCAUGUAUAUGUUUACCAAAAGCAUCGACUUGAACACUUGAUCAUGCCUCCAUUGGUUUUAUCAAUAGGCUUCCUAAGAAGCAAAGUAGUCAUGAUCUCAAAGGGGCUGCAACUUGUAGGUCUGUUGACAAAACUGUUGUAUGUCAAGUCAGCCAUUGGAAGAAUUUGCUGCCACUUAGUAACAUGUUUGCCACCUUGGCAACGAAGUAGAUCACCCAAACUUUGGUUAACAACUUUUGUUUAGCCAUCAGUUUAAGGGUGAAAAGUACUAGAAAACUUAGCUUUAUGUUCAACUUCUUCCAUAAACUUCUCUGAAAAUAACUCAAACUUUGCAUCCUAAUGACAAACAAUAGUCUUGGCAAAGCAUGAAGCUUAACAAUUUCUUUGAAAAAGAAUUUAGCAACAUGGACAGCAUCCAAAGUCUUUGAACAUGGGAUAAAGUGCACCAUUUCAGAAAAAAAAAUCUACCAUGACAAUAUGGAGUCAUGUCCCCUGAAAGGUUUUGGCAAACCAAGUACAAAGUCUAUGCCUAGGUCUUUGCCAUGGCUCAGGUGGCAUAGAGAGUGGCAUGUUCAGUCCUGCAUUUUUCUUCCUCCUCUUUGAUUGUUGGUAUAUGCAGCAUUUAGUAACAUUCUUAGCUACUUUUUUCAAAACUUGGCCAAUAAAAUUGAUUUUCUGUCAUUCCAAUCGUUUUAUCUCUUCCAAAAUGAUCAGUUGGUCCUCCAAAAUGCAAUUCCUAUUUCACUUGUUCAUGAAGUCGUGUUAGGUAAGCAAAGUGGGGUCCCCUUGAAAAGAUAUCCAUCAUGCAGCAGAAAAUCAGGAUAUGCUCCCAGGUUCCUAGCUACUAGGUCAGUAUAUAUAAUGCUGAAAUACUUCCAUGAAUGAUAAUCUUGUUUCAACAAAACAAAUUCCUCAAAUUGUAUAGCCAUAGAAGAAAGAAUAUACACCACUCUGCUAAGAGAAUCAGUUGCUUUGUUCUCAACUCCUGAUUUAUGCUUAAUAAUGAAGGUGUAUUCUUGUAAGAAGGAGAUCCAUUUCACAUUCCGGUUAUUAAGCUUAGUUUGAGAGUUGAUAUACUUGAGAGCUUCAUGAUCAGAAUAUGAAACAAACUCCUCUGGAAGCAGAUAAUGAUCCUAAUAGUGCAAAGCUUGAACCAUAGCAUAGAAUUCUUGUCUAGGUUGAGUAUUUUUGCUUUGCUUCAUUCAGUUUUUCAUUGGAAAUGCAAUAGAAUGUCCUUCCUGACUCAUUGCACCUCCAAUUCCUAUGUUUGAUGCAUUGCAGGCUACUUCAAGAAGUUGCAAAACAGGUGCUUCAGUCAACCUCUUGUUUAUCUCUUCAAAAGCCUUUGCUGCUACCUUAGUCCAAACAAAUUGGUUUUUUUUUCAUACAAUUAGUGACAGGAUCUGUAAUAGUGCUAACUAGGAUGGCUUGUACCUUAUCAGAGUCUACUUCUGACCCCUUGGCUGAAACAAGGGGUCAUGAUGGAACAUUUUUUAAAUUUAUGUAGAGUUUUUCUCACCAAAUAACUCUCAUAGCUUGUUGCAAAUGGAAGACAUGAUUAUCCUCAGCCUUGCGGUAGAUUAAUAUGUUACCAAUGUAAGCAACUAGAAACUUUCCAAUAAAUGGUUGAAGUACUUGAUUCAUGAAACACAUGAAUGUGCUAAGAGCAUUUGAGAGGCCAAAAGGCAUGACUAGGCACCCAUAGAUACCAUCCUUCAUCUUAAAAGCAGUCUUCUACUCAUCCCCAGGCCUUUAUCUGAUGAUACCCACCCUUCAAAUCUAUCUUUGAAAAGAUAUAAGAUCCUGCCAUUAGAUCCAACAGACCAUUUAUCCAAGGAAUAGAGAACCAAUAUUUGAUGGUUAUCUCGUUGAUUGCAUGGCUGUCUAGAAACAUGCAUUGACUGCCAUCUAUUUUUAGGGUUAGUAAGGCAAGGAUAACACAAGGACUUAAGACACUCGCAAAUAAGUCCCUUGGAUAGUAGCUCUUCCACUUGUCUUUUAAGCUCUGCAUUUUCACUUGGAUUAAAUAGGCUGGAAGAUUAGACAAAUGGAAUCCUGGUAUAAAGUCUAUAGCAUGCUGAAUAUUGCAUAGUGAGGGAAGUUCAUUAGGUAUCUGCUGGAGCUACGUUUGAGAAGUCAUUGAGCAGUUCAGUGACCUUCUUAGAUAUAGAAGAAAUGCUGCUAGCAUUUGUCUUCUUGACUUCUUUCAUCACCAUGACAUAUAUUACCCAAUUUUCCUUGCUUUCUUUCUAAAACUUCUUAGAAAGAAUAAGAAGAGAACUCUUCAUGUCCCUUGGCAACUUUUGCUGACUUUGGAAUAUCGUAUUUUUGCAUUUCAGCAUUAGUCACUGGUUUCAACGAAACUUCUCUUGAAACUGUAAGUGUUUUCUUUCCUAGAAUGAUGUAUACCUUGGUCAUAAAGCCGAGGAUGACCAAGAAUGACAUGUAUUACUUUCAUAGGGAUCACCGUCGCACCAAAUUGAAUCACUAUAAACACCACAAGAAAGAGAAACAAAUAGACCUGUUAUUUAUCCAUGCUACCUUGUAUGGUUGUGGGUGUGGCUAAAUAGGAAGUUUGAGGUACUCAAUUGGUGGAGGCUGAGACAACAUUCAUGCUCCAAGCCAAUAUGUAAGUUCUUCUUGGAACAAUUGUAUGCUAUGUGGCAAGGUUGUUGACGCUUGAAACACUUGAUGCCCUUACCCUUAGGAUCAGCCACUUGAGAAGAAGAUGGAUUAUACCUUGUGGUUGGAUCCUGUCCUCAUACUGCAACUUGUGUCAUUGAACUGCUUAUGCACAGAUUCCCUAGCUGUAACUCCUGGCUCCCUAUUGAUUGAAUAUCCCACAUAUUCCUCCAUAUCUAAUGCAACUUGAAAAGCAUAUUCUAAGCUGUAUAAUGGCUGAUACAGCAACUCCCUUUUCAUUUUGGGUCUUAGUCCAACUUAAAUCUUGCAAGUGUUUUCUGUGAACCUUCCAUUAUUUGACUUCUUGUCUUAAAUCAAAUUUCUGCAUAUACUCAGCAACAUGCAUGUUGUUUUGCCUCUAAUUAAUGAGCUGAUCACAUUUACUAAUUUGUGGGGCAUAUAUUUCUACCAUAGCUUAGCCUUCAUCUCUUGCCAUGUGCUGAUUCAUGGUAGCCCCAUCCUUCUACUGUCUACUUCAUCCUUGUCCACCAAAAUUUCGCUAAACCCACAAUUUUCAUUUUAGCAAAUCCCACUCUUCGGUCAUCAGUCAUCAUACUAAACAAAGUACUCUUCAAUUGCAGCUAGCCGAUCAAUAAAUUGAGUAUGAUCUGCCUUUUGCUUGGAAAUUAUGAACCUCUAUUUUCACUUUCUUGGAGAUAUCUCCAACGAUGUCACAAACUAAAUUUCUUCUUUCAAGUAAUCCUCUAGUCGAUUCAAACAUAGGGUAUCAUGGUGCUUGAAUUGCUUCUUGGUCCUCCUAGUUUUCCUUAAUGCAAGCCUGAGACCUUUCCCCCUUGCUUAACAUGUGAUGAAUCCUUAGUGGGUGAAGAUGUUUGUGUCUCGACAUUGGUUAGUUGAAUGUGGAGGCUAUGAAGCUGGUUCACCGUCUGAAUUAGCAUUUCAUCAUGCUGGUUGUCAAAAACCUUCCUCUAAAAGUCCGUCUAGAUCAUGCAGUCAUGAUCUCAACCUCACUCUGAUACCAAAAUUGCUGCAGGACAGGGAAGUGAAAUGCAAGGAGUGUAGAUGUUUAGUAUCACUGAAAAAACUCUAAGAAUAACUCGUAGAAACCUUUAUGCUUCACCCCCAAGUAUUGUUUGUAUCACAUGAAGAAAAUAGUGAAUGUUAAAAAUUUAUCAUCCAUCCAUUGAUUUUUUUCAGAAGACAGAUCAACUACUGUAUAGUACUUCUCCAAUAACUUUUUCAAACUAUUCACAUAGUUGGAAUGCAGCUUGAAAAUAUCAGAAACUCGGUUUUACUACUAGACUUCAUUAAAAGACUCUUGGAAAAUGAUGACAACAUUUCGAUGGACAAUAAUAACUUAUGACAAUUGACUGGGCCCAUAAUUUGAUUCUUGUAAAGUACUUCUAGGUUGAAUCCAUAUUGAAUUAUAUAAGAUCCCAACUAAGUCCAUUAUCAUCCGGAGAAUUGCCAAAUUAAAGUUUGGGCCUUAGAGCCCAGCUCUUUGCACCUUUGGUAAACUUUUAAAGGUGGCUACUACUUGUCUCCAUCAAUGCACCUUCAAUUCAAAAAGAGAACUUUAUCUCUCUUUAAAAAUACUCAUUAUUUAUCUAUUUUGACAAAGUGAAACACAGCGGCAACCCAGGAAUUUCUUAGUCCUUUCAUUAAAAAACUUAACUUUUUAUGCAGGCACUCUGAUGUGAUGUAAGAAUCUGCAGAUGCCUUCCCUUUUCUAAACUACUGUGAUACAUUGCCCUUCAUAGGGACAUUUUGUGCUUAGAACAUGUUUAUUUAGGUAAAUGCUGGUUAUUAUCAGUUUUUUCUGUUAUUGAGAGACAAAUCCAAUUUCCGAAUAUUUGUCCCAUCUUCUAGAAUCUGAUAAGUUACAAAUGUUUCUUAUUUCAGUCUCAUGUUUUUCAUUCUUCUGUAAAUGUUCCUAGUUCAAGAGAAGAUUUAAUAGAAUGUGGCUUAGGAUGCGAUCUAGAAGUUGUUUUUAUAUAACCCUUUAACCAAAGAUAUGCCUUUUAAAGAGAUGGAGAAUACAAUUUAUAGUGUUAAGCAGGAACUUUGCUUUAUUAGUUUUUUGAAGGCAUUCAAAAUGCUUCAUAUUUUUACACACUAAAUCUAAGCUGAAAUGUACUGAUUGUUUUGUCAGAAACUUGCUGCCAUAUGUAUUUCCCAUGACAUUGAUGAUCGUGGCAUUUGGCAUGUUGUUACUAAAGGGCCUCAAGGAGCAAGGUCGUCUGGGAAGAUCUUUUGGAAAAGUUACUAUACGUGAUCAGCCACCUUCAAAUACAAUUCAAAAGAUCAUAGCUGUAAAAGAAGCCAUGCGUGAUGUUGAAAACUAUCUACAGAAUCUGAAUGUUACACUUCUAAAAAUACGUACAAUUAUUCUUUCAGGUCAGCCCCAGGUAUGUCGUCAUGACACUGUACAAUUAUUCUUCUGAAUGUUACACUUCUAAAAGUUACUAUAUGUGUACAAUUAUUCUUUGUUCUUAUGAAAAUUCUUGAACCUGUUAAAUGUCAUUUUUUCUUUUAUUAUUAUGUGGGUGCAUUUAGUCUGUGGGUGGUUGACAAUUGGCAGGAUAUGUUUUUCCAAAUUUAUCUUAUUUGAUCAAACAUCAUCUUGGAGGAAAAAGUAUAUGCAAUAACAUAGCUGUGGUAAAUAAACUGUUUGUGCCAUGCAUACUUAAAAAACUAUAUGAAAAUUAUGAUGUCUGAAAUUUCUAAGAAUGGGAAUUCAUUUUAGAUACCUGACUAGUGACUUCAAAAAAUAGAGUUGUAGUGUAGAAAUCUGGGUUUACAAUUGAGUUUUUUUCUAAUUUUAUUUAUUUGAUUUCUUUUAAAUUUAUUUUCACAAAAAGCAGCUGAAUGAAAUAAAUAAAUAGUUCUUUGAUUCUGUUCUUCACUGCUGGCCUUGUGGUCUGCUGAUUGGGUCUCCGAAAAGUUAAUCGGGCAAGUGAUAUUCUCUUGGCAUAUUGCUGGGGUGUGUUAUUUGCUGCAGUGAAAAGAAAAUUUUUUGGUACCUUUCUCAACCAUGCUAUAAAUUGGCAAAUAUCUGACUAUUUAGGAAUCUUACACAAGUAUUUUAACAAUUUUGUUACCUAAAUUAUAUCUAUGUCACACGCGAAUGAUCACAGUAAUUCACUUAAGCACAUGUGCAUGUGGUUACCAUGCUGAGAGAGAGAAUGUGAAUUUUUUUCCACUUUUGUGCUUUAAAGUUUAGUGUUAUCUUGUUUUUCUCUUUCUUUUUCACUCAGACAGUAACUGAUUGAUUUGAAAUCUUCAGGUAACAACAGAGGUUGCCUUGGUGCUGUUAGGUUCUGCAACCAUUCUCCUUGUCAUUCCUUUUAACUAUGUUCUUGGUUUUGUUAUCCUUGAUCUUUUCACACGAGAGCUUGAGUUUCGUAGAGAAAUGGCUAUGAGGUUCAUCAGAUUUUUGAAGGAGCGUUGGGAUACUGUGCCUGCAGCGCCGGUUGCUGUAAUACCGUUUGAGAGUGAUGACUCUUGGUCAGUGGAUCAAAGGAAAGAAAUUAAUAACAAAAAAUCAGAAAGAACUCAAAACAAUAUUAAGUCUAGAUAAUUUGUUACAUGUACAUUUUUCAGGGUGGAGUUGUGUAACAAAAUGGCCAGCACUUCCCAGUUAAAGAAAAAGCAAAAUUUAGCCAAACUUUUCCUGCUGAUUAUUUUUUAAAAUGUAUAUAAAUUGACAUUUUCUUUAUUAUUUUCGUAAGCUAAUAAUUAGAAAUUUUUGGUUCUGAAUCUCAUGGUCAUAAAACGCAUUAAGAGCAUGCAUUUUAUGGAGAGAGCAAACUGGAGAAGUUACAACUUAAUACUGCAGACCUUUAUUAUUGCAAGAUGCUUGAAUCACUCAGGAAUUCAGCUGAGAAAAUGGUGCUGGGGUCUUUUCUGAAAGCAGGACAUUAUGUAAUCACCAAAUCCAGGUAAAACCUUUGAGAACGUCUCUUUCCAUCUUCAUUUUAGUUAGCUGCUUUGACUCAAUUCUUGGAUCAUGCAUAUAUUUCCUUCUUUUGUGUAUGAUUGCAUCAUCUCAUCUGAUUCUAAAAUCUUCUUUAUGCUUGCAUGAUACGUACAAAGAUUACUUUGGAUUCUAUUCCUAGAGAAUGUAAGAACUUAAUUUGGGUAUGGCUUGAUGCCCAUCAUCCAUUACUUGCAGAGGGAGUUGUUUGAUUAAAGAAGACACACCCGAACUACAUUAGAAAACUUUGAAAACAGGGGUAAUAUUCGUUGGGGCAUCUUUGUACAAGUUCUAUAGUAAACAUUUGGAAGAGAAUUGGAACAUCAAACAAAAAAAUACACUAUGUAAAUAGAGAUAAUAGUCCCAACAACAACAAUAGUUGGUUGAUCCAAAAAAUUAUCGACACUGUACCAGAUUUUAUCUAAUUGGAAGCCCUAAAUUAAUCAUUGAGGCCAAUGGCAGUAUCAGGAGCCACCACCAUGUAUGAGAGAGUUCUUUUGAGCCCUUUGAUGCAUUGCAGUUCAGUUUCUUGUCAUGAUAUGAGCACGCUGUUUGGUUCCUGAAUUCAACACCAUUGAUUAGUAGUAAGUAAAGCCCUGGAUAAUAAGCAACAUUAUGAAAGACUUUGUUUGAACUGUCUUGAUUUUCAUCUUAAGUUUGUGAAGUUGUAUGCGUGUUAAAUUCUGUUAUUGACCAUGAAAAUUUCAUUCUUAGUGUGCUCUUACCUUGAUGGGCAGAAAGUUACAAUGUAUUCUGGGGCAUUGCAGGUGAGAAUACUCGUAGGAUCAUCGAAUGCAUAGCUAUAUGCCACAGGGCAGGCCUGUUUGAAACUCCUGGAAUAGUUUGUAGCAACACAUGAUAUAGGAUUUCCAUACGCACCUCGACAACAGUACUGAUCAGUGUUGAAUGCUUCGCAUGCGCUUUUACAAGCUAUGAUCUUCCCAUCUGUUUUAAGGGCUAGCUCGCUUGGGCAUUUUUGCCUCAAGUCUGCAUCACAACCAGCAACGCUGCAGUUUACGGUACCUUUCAUGGGGGUGAUUGUAAUGGGCAGGUUGAAUCCAUCAACAAGGCUGACAUCGUAGUAGUCAAUAUCACCAAGGUUGAACUCAGCAAUUGAAGCAGGAGGUUUUCCAGGGCUUGUACAGUUGAGGGUAGUGCCACAGGCACCAGUUUGGCAUUUUCCACUGCCAUUCUUGUCAAAGCUGCAACCUGUUCGGCCCCAUAUCCGGCCACCCCACACAUCGGCAGCAGUGAAAAUGGCUGAUUGGCCUGGUUUGAGUGCAAAACCACCACCAUGGAAGUUGAGACCAGGUGUUAUUAUUCCAGGCCAUACUGUCUCAUUGCAGUCAUUCACAAUGGUGAAGGUGGUUGCACUUUCACACAAUUUUCCUCCUACAUAUACAAAGCAUGAGAUAUGGGACGGUUAGUAAAGGAAAAACAAAAACCAUGGAAAAUGGAUAAAAACAAGACAUUUCAACAUGACAACCAGUUAAGAAACAGGAGAGGAGAAAGAGAAAAUGGUACCUAAUAGAAUAAAAAUGGCAAUGAGGAAAAGAGAGGUGAGGAGAUCAAAAUGACAAGCCAUCUCUGUGUGUGAAGAAGAAGGGAGAUGGGAGCAUAGGUGUUUAGAAGAGUAUUAUUGUGUGUACACAUAUAUGAGGAGAGUGGGGAAGAAUACGUGCAGGAGUGAGUGAAUCCAGAAGCAGUGGUGGCCUGAACUUACACUAUAAAAGGCUUUUUAAGCUUCCUUACUUGCAUUUGCAAAUGAUUCCCAUACCCUUCUUAGUUUAUUAGCAGCUCUAGCUUUUCUGUCCCCCCUCCUCUUUACCCACUUCAGUUGCCCCUGAUUGUGCUCUUUUAGCUCACCAUAGCUGUAUCAUGCCCUGGAGCCCCCUGAUAUGCUACUCUUAAGAGGUAGCUUGGUUAUACCAGAGAGUUGGUUUGGUUAAGUUGAUCCAGGUAUGAGGUAAUUUGGUUCACUUGCUCUCAAAUGUGGCCACUAUGGUAACCAUUUAGAUUUGAUUUUUCAAAAUUGUAGGUGCCAUAUUUUCAAAAUAAUUUUAACAUAAUGAAAGUUUAAGAUCUGUUCUGUCAUACAACUACCUAUCCUCUUCAUUUUAGUCUAAAGUUUACCAAUUUUAAGUUUUUAUGACUUAUUUUAAUUAUAUUUAGAUUUAUCGAUCUACACAAGAAUUUCAGUCGUAUGGAGACAUAAUUGAUUUAUGUGGAAAAUCACUUAUGAAGUCUUUCUCAACUUUAUGAAGGUUAAAAAUCAUGGGGACAAAGAUCGCAACAAUAUGAUCCACUAAAUUUGAGGGAAUGUGAAUCUUUGUUAAGAACUAAAAAAUAAAAGUGAACACCUUUGAGAGUUAUGGGUUAAGCAUAGAAAAUAAUAAUAUAAAGCUUAAGCAUAUGAGCUCCCGAGAGAAUUGGAAAAAUCUUAGUGAAUUUUGACUUGAUUUAAAAAUUAUAUUUUACCUAAAAUCAAUUUAGAAAAAUUAUAAAAUUUUGAAAAAAAAAAUUGAAAUUGGAAAAAAUUGUUUUUUAAAUUAAAAAAAAGGCUUAAAUAUUUUCUUUUAAAAAAAUUUCAAUUUAAAUUUGCUUCCAUAUCUCUUUUAGUCUCUAUUUUCAUGUGUUCUCAAGUAAUUCAUUAAUACUUGCCCGUUUAAUUCGAGUUGAUUCUAGUGUAAAUCAUAGGAAAGUAUGGAAAGUUCUAGGGGAUGAAUGAAACAAAAGUGUAAAUUAAUCUAAAAUACCUAAUGCACUAAUAAAUUUAGUUACAAAGGUAAUAUAUCUUCAACAUACUACCAUGAUCGGUGGGAAAAAAGUAAGGUACCUAUUGAAUUUGGAAUCUAGACCAUUGAAAACAUACCAUAAAAAAUAUUCAAGAUUAAAGUAUAAAGAAAUGAGAUUAAAAUAUAAGAAAAAAGAUAAAGAAUUAUUAACAAAUAAGACCAAGAUACAAUGAGAUGAAACCAAGAUAUGAAAUAAUAAAAUUUCGUAUGUGGUAUAUAAAUAAAUGAAAUUUGGAUAUGAGAUAAUGAAACCCGAGUUAUAUAUAUGAUAUUAUUUUGAUUAAUGAUAUAUUUUCAAUGGGCAUUGAAAAAAUGUACUUAACUCGGACUAGCUUGUGUCAUCUAUUUAUUCCCUAAAUUUUAUUUAUACUUUUAUCCUUUUUCAAUUUAGUCCCUACAUAUAUAUAUAUAUAUAUAUAUAUAUAUAUAUAUAUAUAUAUAUAUAUAUAUUUAUUUAUUUAUUUAUUUUCUCAAGGAAUGUGAUUCUUACGUUAAAUAGAGAUUAAAAGGAAUAAAAAACUUGGACAAAAUCAGGACCCUUUAGCCUUCUCCUGGCCAAUCACUACCGUCUGAUGCCCAGACAAUAAACAAAUUCCAACAAAAACUACAAAAUCAAGACCCUUUAGCUUUCUCCUCCUUCUUCCUCCGGGCAUAGUUCCUGAAAUGAAAGUCAAGAAAGAGACCCAAAAGAGAAGCGUUGAAAACCGCAUUAAAGCACCAACCCCAGAUCCCAGAGCACCCUAUUCCACUAAAAUGGUAGUACAGCAUCAAACCCGAAACAGCAAAACUGAACAUGAACUGCACAAUCUGAACGUCUGUCACCACGCGCUUCCACCGUGGACGCCACCCUAGUGUGCAGGAUAAGUAGUAGGUGUACAUUAGCACGUGGACGCUCGCAUUGGUGACGAGCGCCACCGGCAUCAGAGACUGCGAGGUGUGGAGCCAUAUAUAGCACAUGAUGAGGACGACGGUGUGGUGGUAGACGUGGAGGAAGGACAGCCGUUUGAUGCUCCCACUAAGGAUGAUCAAGAAGGUGUCAAUAAAUUCAACGAUUUUCGAGAGGUAGAAGACGUAGGCCCAGAAGAAGGUGGGCCCGGAGGGAGGGGUGUCGGGUGGGAAGCAGAAGAUCCAACGGGUAUCGGGGGUUUGGGAGGCUGCGGAGAGGGAGCAUCCGACGACCAUCGCAAGGGAAAGGAGGAGGAGGAGGAGGUUGUGGGCGGCGGAGAUGGGGCGGAGGAGGAGGGGGUGGAGGGUGGGGAUUUGGGAGUGGGAGAGAAGGUAAGUGAGGGUGAGAUAGCAGAAGAUGGUGAGGGUCAGGAAUUGGGUGGAGGCGCCCCAAGUGUGGCCUUGUUUCCACUCGAAGUUGGCCAGCGUUGGGUGGUCAACGAGGUAAUGGUGGAGGCUGUCCAUCGCGUGGGAGCGCGCGCCUCCGUGGGGAAGAGGGGCAGUGGUGGAUGGAUGAGGUUUGAGAGGUAGCAGCAGUCUCGAAAUGGAGAGGGGGGUUGAAGGUAUUAACUUCAUUUGUUUUUGCCAUUUUGGGGAGAGUAUGGGCUGGACCAUUUUUAAGCCCAAAACAAAUCGGGGAGAGUAUGGGGUGAACCAUUCUUAAGCCCAAGAGAACCCUUUAUUGAGGCCCUUUAAUUCCAUUUUUCAAUCUAUGAUAAAGGGUUGGUCUUUACCAUGGAAAUCAAGGAUUUUUGACAAAUUUAUAGUAAAUUAAAAAAAAAUCAUUUUUGAAAAGUAAUGGUUUUAAAAUUAUUGAUAAAAUUAUAAUACUUUAUGUCACAUAAGCUUCAUAAAUGCGUCAUAUUACAACUUGUUUUUAAACGUGUCUUGAAGACAUAAUUUCAUGCAUCAUUGUGAAGUCGUGUUUUAAAGACACAAUUAUAUUAUUUUGAAGUCAUGUUUUGAAGACUUCACUUCAUUUUUUUUUUGCUUAUAUCUACCUUUUUUUUAUAUUAUAUUUUUUAUGUAAAUGAAUUUAUUUCCUUUUCAUGUUUUAUUUUUAUUUUUAUUGCUUUUCCCAUCUUUAUCAAAGCUAUGUAUUAUUAUUUUUCGAUUUGAAUGUAUCUUAAUAAAAUCUUCAAUAUUUUUCUAUUGAAAUCGUUUCUUGAAAGCACGAUUUUAGUAAAAUGUAAUCAAAUUGUGUUUUCAAGUUUUAGGAAUAAAAUUUUGCUUGAGAACUCCAAUAUGAUUUUUUUUCUCAACUCAUUCUCAAUGAAGACAUUGUACACUUAUGUAUGAUGUAAGAGUUUUCAAAAUAUUUUAUUUAUUUAUUUUUUAAUUGUGGCUCAAAACACUUAACAAAAAAUAACUAAAAAAAAAAUCUAAAUUUUGUUUUAAAAAAUAAGCUAUUAAUUUUCAAAAUAAAUUAUGGAAGAACUAUUUUUAUCAAAAGUUUGUCAAAUAGUUCUGAUUAUGUUCUAACAAGAAUAGAAAACGAAAACCAUUUUUAAGAAUAGUUACUAAAUAGGAUUUUAGUUAUUAUAUUAGUGCAAAAUAUUUUCCACUUAUCAAUGACAAUCACAUAAAAUCUUUUAUCAAAUUCAAGAAGCUCGAUUUUGUAUUAUAUUAUUCCAUUCAAUAUGUUAUUAGAAAUCAUCUUCAAAUCUUCAAAGCAACAUGACACUAAGUUAAUCUCAUAUGUUCGUCCAUGGUGCCCAAAAACUUGAUAUUGGAUCAAUUGUAUAUCCUAUUCAUUUUCAUUUGUCAACUAUGUUUUCAUAUGCAUGUUUGAAAUGAGUCAUAGCUAACAACUUGAAAAAUCCCACUAGUAUUGUUCACUUAUGGAGAAGAACCUUGCUAGAAUCAAACCCUCUUUCUUAAAGUUUCUAAUGAUAUAUUUUUAUUAAUUCUUGAGAUUAUGUUUGGUUUUUUGGAAAAUUUAAGGGAAAAUGCAAAGGAAAGAAAAUAAGGAGGAAAAAUAGAUAGAAAAAAGAAGAAGAAUUAAAGUUAAUAAAUUAUUUUUAUAUAUUACUUCAAAUGAUUUUGCACAUUCUAACUAUUAAUUAAUAAAUUAUAUUUAUAUGCUACUUCAAAUCAUUUCAUGUAUUUUAACUAUUGGAUAUAAAAAUAAAAUAAUUUGAAAAUGCUUGAGUUUUUAACUAAUUUUAAUUAUAUUUGAAUUCUUUUAAUAUUUUUCAUAAUAAAAUCAAAUAUGAAAAAACAUAUUUUUUCACAAUAUUUUUUUCUUUAUUUAAUAUUUUUUUGGAACCAAAGAUGGUGCAAGGGUUUUUUCAAAUGAGACUCAAUAAAUAAAUAUCCUUGUUUUUGGGGGGGAAAACCAUUAAAAAAAAUUGCAUGUCAUGCCUUUGAAUUUAUUAAAGAAGCAACUCAACUAGUCAAAUCGAAAAACUUAUAAGUAUUUCAAUUAUAGUUAUAUUGCUUCAUAUAAUUUAACAAGAAUGAACCCAUAUGUAAUAAUAUAAUUAUAAGUUGUAACCCCUCAAGGUGUAAAUAAAAAAUUGUUAUAUGCUUUCUCUUCAUGAUUUAAGUUAAAAAAAAAAAAAUGCUAUAUAUUCUUAAAUAUAUUUUUUUUUAUUUAUAAAACCCAUGUAUAAGAAAGAUUCACAAUCAAGAGUAACAUAAGCCUACUAUUUGGACGUAAUAUUUCAUAUUAUACAAUCUUUUUAUGAAAAAUAGAAUUUCUUGGGCAAGGUUUAUAUUUUUAUCUAGAUUUAAAUAGAGCAGCAUAUUAAUUAUAGACAUGACAUAAAAUAUGAGUUUUUUUUCAUAAAUUAAUUUGUAAUUAAAAAAGAGUAUAUUGUAGUAAAAAAGUUUUUUCCACGAAAAUUUAUUUGUGGUAAGUUUGUUGCUAUAAGUUCAUGAGCAAUUAUUUUUAACAAUAAAAAAUAAAGUUUGUAGCUAAAAGGCAAAAUUAUUGGCAUAAAUUUGUGGUAGCAUAUUACUCAACAAAGCAAAUUCAUAGCAAAAGUUGAUUUUUUCCAUGAAAAAAGGGCAAAAGGUCACUUUUGAUAUAUACGAGUUUUUUUUCCACUUUGAAGUAUUAUUUAAAUUUUCUUUUAUCUUACAAUUAUUACUAACUAUUAGCCUUAGGGUUCUCCUAAGUGAGUUUUGAUGAUAAAAAAUCAUGGUUAGUAUGCUAAGAGUUAAAAUCGAGAUAAGUUUCAGGUACUAAUCGAGAAAGUCAAAUGAGAAAUCAGGUUAAUCAUCAAAGGAUCUAAUGAAAGUAAUAUCAAGGGUGCAUGAAGGCUAUUCAAGCUUAGAAACUUAAUGUAAGGUGAAUAUUUGGGUGCUCUUAGGAAUUUUAUUUUAUUCAUGCAUCAUUUUGAUAACCGAGUUAAGUUUUGAAUUAAUUUUAUUCAAACUCAAGUAUAUGUUUAAGAAACCUUAGGCAAAAUCACUUAAACUUGACUAAGGUACCUAAAGACCUUGCCUAAGUGUUAAAGGAAAAUUGGAGUGAAAAAGAUUGUUUUCAAAGCUGAAAAAGUCCAAUUGAUUGAGGGUAGAACUGAAUCGACUCAAAUGGUUGGGAAUUGAUCGAAUUGGUUGCCUUUUCCUAGUUGAGGACCGAUCAAGGGUGUACAUUUCCUUCUAUUUCUUUUAUAAGGGCUCCCAAUAAAGGGAAACCCUUUCUUAGUUGAAGGUAACCCCUUCCUGAUUGAGGUCCGAUCGAACCCCUAACGCCAUGCAUUAAUUACAUAACAACUAGUCAACUGGUCUAUUGGAGCUUGAUCGGGAAAGGCUAGUUGGUACAAUUUUUGGUGUCCAAGGUUGGAAACCUAUAAAUAGAGGGUUGUUAUUUAGUUGUUGAUAAGAGAACACCUGCAUUAAGCUUCUUACCUACCUAUUUCUCUCAUUCAAAGCCCUCAUUCUCUCUUUGGUGCAUUAAACUCACACUUGCAAAUCAUUCUUACCUCACCCUUGUGUUUUUCCUAAUUUCUUUGCAUUUAUUCAUUAAUUGUGUUAGGAUUAAGUGAUCUUAAAGCCUCAUUUAUUGAAUUAAUGUUAAGUCCUAGAGCUUCAAGUUGGGAACAAACUUGAUGAGUUACUUGGAACACCUAUAAGAGUCGGUGAAUCCAAUUGUAAGAACUUGGAAGCUUGGUUGAAAGCUUCACAUUAGUGGAACCCUUACUCAAAAGGAGCUUGAGGAGAGAUGACGUAGGUAGGAUCGGACCACUAUAAACCCAUGCUUGUAAUCUCUCUUACUCUUAUCUCUUUAAAUUUAUUGCAUUUUUAUUUAUGGAUUAAGGGUAUUUUUGAAAAAGUUUUAAAACCCAAUUCAACUCCCCCUCCCCCCUUUCCCCAUUUGAGUGGUUUCGCUUAAUUAAAUUGGUCUCUGUUUCACAAUUGGUAUCAAAGCUAGACCUUUUUCUAAAGAUUUAAGAAUUGAAGAAGAUAUGACUAAUCCAUUAAGCUCACACCAUUUGAAAGGUUUUGUAACUAACCAACCCCCAUUCUUUAUGAGAACUGAUUAUCCCUAUUGGAAAACUAAAAUAACUCAUUUUUUACAAUCUAUUGAUCUUAACCUUUAGGAUGUUAUUGAAUAAGGUCUCACUAUUCCUUCAAAACUUGUAAAUGGAGUGAUGGUUCCAAAAAAUAAGCAAGAAUAUAAUGAACAUGAUAGAAGAAAUGUUUAAUUAAAUGCUACAACCAUUUGCUUUUUGCAAUGUGCUAUUGACAUGAAUGAAUAUAAUCAUGUUUGUUGAUGUAAAUUGGCCAAUGAAAUUUGGAGAUUACUUGAAGUAACUCAUGAGGGAACUAAUCAAGUAAAAGAAUCAAAGAUAAAUAAACUUGUUCAUGGCUAUGAAUUGUUUGCUAUGAAAGAUAAUGAACUUAUUGUUAAGAUGUUUACUAGGUUCAUUGACAUUAUCAUUGGUCUUAAGCCUUGGGAAAGACCUACAAAAAAUAAGAGAAAGUGAUGAAGAUCUUAAGGUCCUUUCCAAAGAAAUGGGAAAUAAAGGUCAUUACAAUUCAAGAAGCCAAGGACUUAACCAAGCUACCAUUGGAGGAGUUAAUUGGAUCAUUGAUGACACAAGAAAUUACCAUGACAAGUCAUCAAGAUGUUGAAGAUAAGAAGAAGAAAAGCAUAGCUCUCAAAGUCUCAACAAAUGAUAAGGAGGAAGUUGAAGAAGAAAUAAAUGAAAAUGAAGAAGAUGGAGACUUAGCCCUUAUCAUAAGAAAGUUCAAGAAAUUUAUGAAGGGUGAGAAAUUUAAAGGAAGGAGAUUCACCUCAAGAAAGGAAUCUCAAAAGAAGGAAGCUUCAUUAAAUGUGGACAAAGAGAAGAAUGAUAUAAUAUGCUACAAGUGCAAGAAACCGAGACACAUCAAAUAUGAUUGCCCUCUCUAUAAGAGUAAAGCAAAGAAAGGAAAGAAUAAGGCUAUGGUAGCCACAUGAAGUGAUAGUCAAGAAGACUUAUUCGAAAAAGAAAAGGAGAAGAAAGUGGCAACAUGUGCUUUAUGGCCAUUGAUGAACUUAAUGAGGUAAAUUCAAACAUUAGCUUUGAUAAUUUACAAGAUGCAUGCCUUUGAGGAUUUGUAUGAAGACCUUGAAAAUCUUGGUUUGAAAAAAAAAAUGUCUCUCAAAAAGAAAAUUCAAAAACCUGAAAAAGAACUUGAAAAGGUGCAAGAAAAGUUUUCAAAUGUUGAAAAUGCCAAAACUUCUUUUGAAAAAGAGAAUGACAUUUUGAAAAAGAAUAAUGAAUGGUUAACCUCUUCACUCUUUAUUUUCUCUUGGGUCAAAAGUCUUUUGAUAUGAUACUUGCUAGCUAAAAAUAAAUUUUUGAUAAAAUAAGGGUUAGGGCAUAAAUCUUCUAAGAAUCAAAAGUAUUUCGAAAAUUACUUUAUGAAAGAAUCAACUAGUCCAAGUCUUUCCACCAUUUGCAACUUUAGUGGAAGAGGAGGGACACAUUAGUAGUACUUACCCUCUUAAAAAUGAUUCUCAAAAGGUUUCUACUUAAAAAAUUAAGAAAAUUUAGGUUGAAAAAUAAAAUGUUACUAACCCCCAACAACCUAAAAAGAUAUGGGUACCUAAAUCUAUUUAAGUUAUACUUGUAAGGCUUAAAAAAGGACAAAUGGUUCUUAGAUAGUGAAUGCUAAAAAAACAUGAUUAAAGAUGAGUCUAUGUUUGCAUUUCUCAUUAAGAAGAAGGGUGACUUUGUGACAUUUGGAGACAACGCUAAAGAAAGGAUCAUUGGGCUAAAGAAGACAAACACUUCUUCUCUUAUUAAAAAUGUGUUAAUAGUUGAUGGUUUAAAGCAUAACCUCUUAAGUAUUAGUUAACUAUGUGACAAAGGUUUUAAAGUGAUUUUUGAAGUAUUUCAUUGCAUCAUCAAAGACAUUCAAAAUGACAAAGCCAUCUUCAUGAGCCAUAGAAGUGAAAAUGUUUAUACAAUUGAUAUUAAAAAAUAUGAUAACCAUGAUAAAUGUUUUUCAAGUAUGCAUGAUCAAAAUUUGUUGUGGCAUAGGAGGUUGAGAUAUACUAAUAUGGACAUCAUCUCACACCUCAACAAAAAUGAACUUGUUAGAGACAUUUUCAAAAUUAAUUUCCAGAAAGACAAAGUUUGUGAAGCAUGUCAAGUGGAAAAACACAUAAAAAACUUUUAAAAACAAAAAUUUCAUUUCCACAUCAGGACCUUUAAAAUUAUUGUAUAUGAGUCUUUUUGGGUCCCUCUAGGACACCAAGUCUUGGUGAAAAAUAUUAUGUCUAUGUUACUGUGGAUGAUUUCUCUAGGUACACAUGUGUCAUGUUUGAAUUUUAGGCAUUUUCAAAGUUUUGUAAAAAGGUUCAAAAUGAAAAAGAUUUUUCAAUCACUUGUAUAAGAAGUGAUCAUAGGAGAGAAUUUGAAAACAUUGAUUUUGAAUUUAUUACAAUGAGCAUGGAAUUGACCAUAACUUUUCAACUCCUAAAACUCUUCAACAAAAUGGGUAGUUGAAAGGAAAAAUAGAAAUCUACAAGAAAUGACAAGAACCAUGCUAAAUGAAAAUGAUCGACAAAAAUAUUUUUGGGCUGAAACGAUUAACACUUCUUGAUAUGUUUUAAAUAUAGUUUUGUUAAGGCCCAUCCUCAAGAAAACUCCUUAUAAGUUUUCAAAAAACAAGAAACCUAAUAUUGACUAUUUCAAAGUCUUUGGUUUCAAAUGUUUUAUUUUAAGCACCAAAGAUAACCUUGGAAAUUUAACGCAAAAUCCAAUGUUAGAAUUUUCCUUGGUGACUUACUUUCAAGUAAAGCUUUUAGAGUUUUUAACAAAAAAAACCAUGGUAGUAGAGGAGUCCAUCUAUGUUAUUUUUAUGAAUCUAAUAAUACUCUUCAAGAAAUAUCUAGUGUUGAUGAUUUAUGUAAUGCCCCAAACCCAAUUUAGGGGUAAAAUCUUAAUUUAUAAAUUAUUAAUUAAUUAAAGUAAUUUAAUAAGGGUAAAAAAGUCUUUUUGUAUUUAAAACCCCUAGAUAUAAAUUAGAUUUUUCUUACAUUCUCUAUUCAAAAAACCCUUUUACACAAAGAUCAGAAAGAUUAGAGAGCAUAAGGCUCAAGAUUUGGAGGUUUAAGGUUUGAAGAUCAAUUUUUCAGGUAAGAUUUUUAAUCUUUAAAUUAAUAUUUUAUAUUCGUUAAUUAGUUUUGAACACUUUAUAUAUUCUUUGGAAUAUUUCAAUUUUAAUUAGAGUUCGUUUAAUUAAUUUAUAGGUCAAAAAGAUUAAAAAUUUAUGAACAUAGUUUGAUUUAUCAAUGGAGAUCGAUAGAUUUUGAUUACUCAAAUGAAUGGAUCUAAGAAAAAAAUAAAUAAAUAAAAUAAGAGUAGCGUGAUUUUCUGUGAAGAGAAAAUAAUAAUAAUAAUAAUAAUAAUAAUAAUAAUAAUAAUAAUAAUAAUAAUAAUAAUAAUAAUAAUAAUAAUAAUAAUAAUAAUGUAGAUGUGUGUCGUGUAGUAGAGGGUUUAAAAGAAAAAAAAAUAAGGAUGCGUGUGGAUAUCUAGGAAGAAAGAAACAAAAAAAGAAAAAAAAAGUGUUAUUAUUAUAAUAAUAAUAAUAAUGGGUGUAGUUGGUGGCUUGGAGUAAUGGUGUUAGUUGGUGGCUUGGAGUAAUGGUGUUGCUGGUCUUUAAAAGUAAUAAUAUAUCUAUAUAUAUAUAUAUAUAUAUAUAUAUAUAAUGGGGUGUGGGGGUGGAAUUGUGGUUAAGUGACAGUUGGAUUAUGAGAACAAUAAUAAUAAUAAUAAUAGUCUAUUGUAUAGGUUUUAAUUUAAUUUAAGUAUAUAAAGAAAUAAAUAGGGAGGGUAAGAUUAGGAAAGAAAAUGAAUUUUACAAUAAUUUGGAAACUAAGUAAAUUAAUUUAUUAUUGUUUAGUAAGUUGAAAAUAAUAUUGGGUAGUAAUAAUAUUAGCAUGAGAAAUUAAUUAUGAUCCUUAAUACUAAAUAAAAUAUUUUUAGGAUUGCCAAUUUUUUACCUUUAAAUAAUUGUGUAUGAUAUUAUGUUAGGUGAUGAGUAAAUUCAUCAAGCUAAAUACUUCAAGUUUUUGAGCGUUUCUUCAAGGUAAGGGAAAUUAAUGCAGAUUUUUAUAAAAGAAAAUAAUUUUUUUUUUAUAUUAUAUUUUGAAAUGUGUAAAAAUGUUAUUUUUAUCUUUACUCAUGGAUCAAAUAUGUGUUUUGUAUGGAAAGUAUAUUUGAAAAUUUUCUUUGUUUAUGAAAAAUGAAAAUUUUUGGAGAUAUGAUAUUUUGUUUUACAAGUUUGAAUUAAUGAAAUAAAGUGUUUGACUCUAGUUCCUAUGGCCCUAGUCAACAUGAUAUAAUUGUUGACAUUUCUAUGGCCUUAGUUAAUGAGUUAUAAUUUUUUACAUAUUCGGCCCUAAUAAAUGAGUUAUAGUAGUUGAUAUUAUAUGACCCUAGUCAAUGGGUUAUAAUUGUUGACCUUAUGACCCUAGUCAACGAGUUAUAAUAGUUGACCUUAUGACCCUAGUCAAUGGGUUAUAAUUGUUGACAUUUGGUUUUGUUCACCUUAAAUGCGAUAAAUUUGAAACUAGUAACUCAUUGUGAAGUCCCACCUAAUUGGGCAUCAUUUGUUAUACGAUAACCAGAGUAAAGAUAUUUUGAAUGUAUUCGAUUUGGUUUUGAUGAGAAAUUGUUUUAAAAUGGAUAUGAGAAAGUUUUGUUAAAAAGUUUGAAUGUAUUAGUAUUUUGAACUCAAAAGUUUUUAUGAAAAUAAGUAUAUGUUAUAUCUCCUAUUUACAAGCAUGAUUGAAAAUGUUAGAUCCAUGAAACUGUAUUAAUGUUCUUUAUUGGGCUUUGAGCUCAUCCCCCUUUGUUGAUAAUCUUUUAGGUAACCUCAAUUUGGGCGAGGAGUGACCGUUAGGAGGGAAAUUUGGCUUUAUUAGGAUAUUUGUUUAAGCUCUCUUUAUUUUGGAAAUUGUUUAGAUGUUAAAACUUAAUUCUCGUUUGAAUUAUUUUGAGUUUGGAGUUAUUUGGACAAUAACACUUUGGUUAAUGUAUUAGUUUUUUUUUUUUUUAAAGUUGAUACUUGGAGAUUUUAGAAUUUUUUCAUACUACUCUGAAUAGGAAUUUGGUAAUUGGUAAAUUUCCAGUUACAAUACGAAUGUUUGUGUUAUUUCCACUUUAAGCCUUUGGGCUUGAGGUGUGAAAUGACCGUCAUGCCCUUAGAGUGGGUUUUGAGGUGUGACAAUUUAGGUUUGGAGGACUACAUGGGAAGAUUGUAAAUUGAAGAUGGAAGACAAUAAGAAAAUAUGAGGCUGAUCCAAAGAAAGAAAGGUCACCUUUAACACUUCCCCCACUUCAACAGGCGAAAGGUGAAUCAAGUCAAGACUUUCUAAGGGAUUAAAAGUUUGUCAUGAGCCACCCAGAAAACCAAAUCCUAGGUAAUCCAUCUAGUGGGUUAAGGACUAGAUCUUCUAUUAGAAAUAUUUGUAAUAAUUUAGCUUUAAUUUUUCAAAUUGAACCUAAGAACAUAAAUAAUGCUAUAGUUGAUGAAAAUUGGAUGAUUGUCAUGUAAGAAGAAUUUAAUCAAUUUGAAAGAAAUGAAGUAUGAGAAUUAACACCUAGACUUACUAAUCAAACUAUUAUUGGUGCUAAGGGUUUUAGAAAUAAGAUGGAUGAAAAUGACAUAAUUGUUAGGAACAAAACUAAGUUAGUAGCCCAAAGGUUUAAUUAAGAAAAAGUCAUAGAUUAUGAAGAAACCUUUGCCUCCAUAGCUAGACUACUAGCCAUUAGGAUGCUACUAGCAUUUGCAUGUUUUAAAGAUUUAUUUUAUAUCAAAUAUAUGUGAAAAGUGUUUUCUUAAAUGAUUUUAUAAUGGAAGAAGUUUAUGUGAACAAUGAACAAACCACCUGGUUUUACAAGUUUUAACUUCCCUAAUCAUAUUUCAAACUUAAAAAGACACUUUAUGGAUUGAAACAAAUACCUAGAGUAUGGAAUGAAAGGUUAAGAAAAUUUCUUCUAGAUAAUGAUUUUAAAAUGGGCAUAAUUGAUACAACUCUUUUCAUUAAAACUGAAGAAAAUGAUAUGCUUAUUGUUCAAAUAUAUGUUGAUGAUAUUAUAUACGGUGCUAUUAAUGUUUCACUUUGUGAAGAGUUUGUUAAGUGUAUGCAUGGUGAAUUUGAGGUGAGCGUGAUAAGAAAGCUCAACUACUUCUUUGGACUUCAAAUCAAAUAACUAAAAGAAGACACCUUCAUCAACCAAGACAAAUACAUUAGAGAUCUUUUCAAAAGAUUCAAGAUUGAGAAUGUAAAGGCAAUGGGAACUCCAAUGAGCUCAUCCAUUAAGCUUGAGAAGGAUAAACAAGGUAAAUCUAUUGACUCAACUAUGUAUAGAGGCAUGAUAGGCUCCUUAAUAUAUUUUACCACCAGUAAACAUGAUAUCACACUAACAUAACCACAUAUCAUGAUUAAAUUUCAAGUAUUACUAAUCUUUAACAUUAAUGUAACACUUCUAUAAAGUUCUAUUUUGAGUUGAUAGUUAUAUUUAGCUAAUAGAGGUAUGUAUAGGACUUUAAAAACUUUUUUUUCACUUUUUAUAGUUAGAUUAAACACUAAUGAUGGUGUUUCACCAAUUUUUCUUACUUUAUUUGCACCUAAUUUUUAUUUUCUCUCAAAUAACCUCCACUUAAAUGGGUGAAAUAUUUGUUAUUAUGAUUGAUUUUCAUUUCAUAAUCAUUUGGAAUGCUUUUCAAGAAGAUGAUAUAGAGAAAUAUGAGAAUUUUCAUUUAGGAAUCCAAAUGAAAUAAUUUUUACUUUGAUGAAUGUUAAUCGUGAGAUAAAUUACAUGUUUAUAGAUAUGUCACUCAUCCUGAGAUUUAAUUGUGGUGAUAAUUAAUUUAUAUUGGGUGUUGGUUUUAAUUGUUGUUGUUGUUGUUAGGCUUAUAAUCUCUUUAGCAAAGUUCUAUGUGAUGAUGGUUAAUAUAUGUGGUGCAUAAUACAUAGUUGAAAUCUAUGCCUAAAUGACAUUUAGAAGCAUUAACAUAUCAUUUUUUUAACUAAGGAAAAGAAAAGUAAAAUAAUGUGUGAAAAUGAAAAUGGAAAAUAAGUACUAAGGGCAAAUUCAAUCAAAGACACGGUUUUAUGGCAAGAGGUCAUGAAGGAUAUAUGGAGUGGGAUCCCUAAUAUAACCCAAGAAGACUCAUGAAGAGUGCGGCGCUAAGAUCCUUGUUUACCAUCUUAUGAAGACUCUAAAUAAAGAAUAUAGUAGAGCAUGGAUGUGUAUUCUUAGACGGAGACCAAAACAAAUUCUAGUGUGUGAAUGGAUGAGCAUUGAGUAUUAUUAUUGUGUGAAGAUAUAAAAUCAAGAGUAAGGAAGUAGGAUCCCUUAUAAGGACUUCCAAAUGAAGAGUAUUGUAUAGUGUAGAUGCAUAUCCUUUGACGAAAUACAAAACCAAAUUAAUAUGAUGAAUGAAUAGAUGAGCAUUCAGUAUUAUUACACUUUAUAAAGAUGCAAAAUGAUAUGUUGAGAUAUUUAAAUUUAAAGUAGUUAUUACUUGUCAAGUUUCAUUUUAAUGCAUGUAUCUUAUCAAUUUUAUUUAACUUUUCAUAUUUCCUUAUAUUAGUCCACUUAUGGACUAUAAUUGCAUGUUAUUUCUUUAAAGGUAUAGAUACCCUCAUUGAGUAUACAAGUGUAUGGUUUUAUGCUUAAAACUUUUCCCCUUUUAAUGUAAAUAUUACUAUAUAUGAGGAAUAUUCCUUAGGCAUGGGAACACUAAUGGACACUCAUGUGGUCUCGUAUUUUUCACGUGUGUCCUCACUCGAUGGUAAGACUCUCUUUUGAUUUUGAAAAAUUGUAUUUUAUGAAAAAUUAGAGUCACCACUUAUUUUUUUAAAGGAAAAAUAAAAUAAGAAACUAAAACCCUAAGAAAAUUACUCCUUAAACUUUUGGAAAAGCGUAUCUUUGAAAAACCUGAGUCUAGGUCUAGGGAUUAGGUUACCUAUCGGGAAGAUACCUUAAAAAGGUAGCACCCCUCUAAGCCCAAAAAAUAGGUCUCUACUGACUAGGUUGAUGAAAGCAUGACAAAUAAUCAAUAAAUCAGGAAUACCAAAGAAAACAAAGGUGAUCAAGUCUAAGGGCAAACAACAUGCUAUUCAUUGUAACAAAUGUGCCAAAGAAAUUAAUCACAAGAAAAAGGAAGAUAGGAGCAUACCUAAGUUGCAAUCCUAAGUGCUUUCAUGAAAACAUCAAAGUUAGUUUGACAAUAUAAUACAACGCCCAUUUCAUCUCAUUCAAAUAAUCAAGCACUAAUCAAAACAUACAAAACAAUAAUAUAUUUCAAAAUAUCCACAUUCAAAGUUUGCAUAUUACAGAAUUAAAGGAAUAAAAGGUGUGAGAGGCGUACUUGCGAGCAUGUACAAUUUAAAAUAUGCUUGCAUAUAGAUAGAAAGGGUUAGUUCACAAGUAAUAACAAAUAACUAUGACAAUAAACCCUAACAUACAAGGUAUAUAUACAACUCAAAUGACAUGGUAUGAAUAUAAAGAAACAACAACUAUCACGUAGGGCAUGCAUACAAGCUCAUUUUUAAAUUUAAACUAAUGCUCAAGAUAGCUGUAAGUAUUUAAAUUAGUAUCUAACAAAAACAUGUAGCAAGGGGAGGAACAAUUACAUUCACUUGAAAAAUCCUUAAAAAAAAAUUUAAAAACAUUAUUUUUCAUGGAAAAAAUCAAACAACAUCCUCAUUAUGUCCACAUUAGAGAAUAAAAACCAAAACCAAGUCAAAAUAUGCCAAACAACACUAGAUUAAAUAAUAAAGCAAGCACUGUACAAGAACUUCAGCAUGUAGUUAGAAUAAAAAGGUUCGCAAAAUAAAUCAUAAAAAAUAUCUAGAAAGUGAAUUUAAUUACAAAAAUUUCUAGGGAACCUCUUAUAUAUGUAUAGAUUAUCACAAAAAAUGCCGAACAAUUUAAUAAAGCUCCAAUUGAUUCUAGUUUACAAAAACAUCCCAAAAGGUUCAAACCAGGGUAGAAUUCAAUAGCAUGCAUAAAUUGAUUUUUUAAACUAACAUGGAAGUGCUAAAAAAUCAUAAAAAAAUCAAGCAAUAUGCUUAGAAUGUUUAUUUUACAAUAAAAAUAAAGACAGGGUUAGAAGAUAUACAUAUCAAUUUUAAAAACAAUCAAACAACCCUUUUAUUCAAGAUAAGUACAGAAAAACAAAAUUACAUAUUUCAAUUGGGAAAAUUAUUUUCAAUAUUUUAUAUGUUUAAAAUCAAUUUCAAGAAGUAUAGAAUUAGGAGAAAAUAUCAAAUAAAAUUUACAAAGUCAUCUAGUCAUUUAUUUUUAUAAAAAUAUUUUGGGUAUCCAAAACUGGGUGAAAACAUAACCCCCCCAAAGACACAUUUAUAUCUUCCAUUCCAUAAUUACUUUUUAACUUGAACAAAGUUCUAAAUUCAUAUUCAAGAUGUCUAUAAUAUCAUACAAUAGGUGGAAAUUUUUUAGAAACAUCAUAAAUAGAUCAAAUCGAAUAAGCUAACAAUAAAAGGUUUUUUUUUUGAAAAAUGAUUUUAUGUAAGGGUUCCACCAAUUUCCCAAUUGAUAUACAAAAAUCUAGCCUAUGGGUUCUCAUCUAUUUGGGACUACAAGCUUGGAUUCAUGUUUCACUCAAAACCAAAUUUUUAUUGAAAACAAAAGGGUGCAAACUGAAUGAGAUAUAGUUACAUAUUUUUUAAAAAAAGUAAAUUUUGAUUCUAAGGAUUCUAAAUGAAUUUUUAAAAUAGAUUUUCAAAGGGAUCUGUUGAGAAAAGUAUUUUCUUUUAAAAUAAAAGAAAUUAAUUUGAAAACAACACAUAAGAAAUAAAAUACCAAGCAAAACAAAAGAAAACAAAAUCACAAAGUAAAUUUUUUGACAACCAAGCAAAUUAAAGUGGAGAAAAUUGAGGCCAAUCUUCACUAUUUUUCGAUGGCCUUUGAAGAUUAAAUUUGAUAAAGAACUACCAAAGCAAUGACCUAUUAAUAUUUAGAUCAAAUAAACUAACGAGAUAUCCAUCAAUAAUUAAAAACUGGGAUUCAAGAAACACAUAAAUUGAGAAUAACAAUAAAAAACUAACAUAAGAUCAACAAAACACACAAACACAUCUAGACUAAAACAAAAUAAAUUAAAACUAAACUAAGUCAGAAUUAAAAACAUAAACUUUAUCUAAUAGGAUUAAUUAAACUAUUGAUUAAAAUCACAAACACAUCUAAACAAAUUAAAAUAAAACUAAAUCGAAAUCAUAAACGUGAGCUUUAUCUAAUAGGAUUAAUUAAACUAUUGAAUUAAAAAUCACAAAUACAUCUAAACUAACAAAUAAACUAAAACUAAACUAAAUUAAAAUUACAAAUGUGAACUUUAUCUAAUGGGAUUAAUUAAACUAAUGAAUUCAAAACACUAAAACAUUUAAACUAAAAGAUAGAUUAAAACUAAACUAAUUUGGAAUUAAAAAUAUAAACUUCAUCUAAUAGGAUUAUUUAAAUUCAUGAAUUAAAACCGCAAACACACUUAAACUAAAAGAUAGGUUAAAACUAAACUAAUUUAGAAUUAAAAAAACAUUAACUUUAUAUUACAGGAUCAAUUAAACUAAUUACCUAAAACUUCGAAAAACACACGAAUUGAAAUAAGCCAAACAAGAAUCAAAGUUAACAUACUUAAAAAGUGAAUAAAACAACUUUGGGUCAACUAGACUAACUUAUUAAAAUUUCUAAAAAAAAAAAAAAAAAAAUUAAAAUUGUAUCAAUUAAGAAUUAAAGUUAACAAGUAACCUAACCUUCAAUCCAAUAUUUAUGAAUCAAAACUAAUAAGAAAAACUCUAACUUUCAAUCUAGUUAAAAAAAUUAAUCCAAACUUAAUACAUAAAAAAUAAAAUAAACAAAGACUUUAACUUUUAAUCCUAAUUCAAAAUCAAAACUAAUUAAAAUAAUUAAAAACUCAAACUUUAAGCCUAACUUAAAAUAGAAACUAAUAAAUAAAAAAAACUUUAACUUUCAUUCUAAUUUAAAAUCAAAACUAAUAAAUAACAAACUUUAAUCUUCAACCUAGUUCAAAGUCAAAACUAAUAUAUAAAAAGAGAACUAACUUUCAAAUCAAUAAAAGAAUCAAAACCAAGACAAGAAAAGCUUUAACUCAACCUCCUUCACUAAUGGUGGAAAAUCCUCAAAACAUGCCGCCUUCCAAAGUGGAUGUGCGUGGAGUCUUUGCAUGCAUGCAAUGUGGCGGUUAUUUUCAGAAAGUGGCAGCUGUGGGGCGUCCCUCUCCACGUGUCCCUAUCAAGCGCAAGACCCCUUAGCCAUCUAGGAUAAAUAUGUAACCUAUCCAGGAUCAUUCCGUCCAGGCCAAGAUAAGUUCCGUUUAGCAUCAUAAAUGAGAGGGUUCCCUUCUUCCACAGGGCCAGAUGGAAUCAACAACCUAGACUCCCAAAUGGGAAGGACUGUCUAGUCAAGUCUUAAAGACCUCUUGCACGCGUGAUUAUUCACGCCUGACAUCUGAGCGGUCGAUCAUACUCCACUUAGCCCACAAGUCCAUGUCAAUUAAUUGCUGCACAUAAUCUUAGACGUUGACAGGCUAAAUAGACAGACAACGGCACGGUCCGAGAUCUUGGCACGUUAGUAGAUAACACCUACCAGCCGCCCUAAGAACAAUCAUCAUUACAGAAAGGGUUAGAGUGCAUAGUCAACAUUAUAGUGGCAGUGUCAUCAGCUCUAUAUAAACCCUCCAAAAAGCACGAACAAGGUACGAGCAUGCACAUAUGCUCACUCUUUCCCAAAAAAUAGUUAAAGCUACUCUUGUUCGACUUAAGCUUUGGAGGGGUGUGCCCAAACCACUUGUAAGGACAUCCUUUUGUGCAGGAAUGAAGCCCGUCUGGAUCCAGUACAACUAGACAGAUUCUUCAAGAGACACGAAGUAGGGAAGAAGUUCGCUUGACUUCAGUGAAACUAGAUGGACCUGACUCCAAUUAGCUUAGCUUCAACAUUGGCGUCGUUUGUGGGAAACUACUAAGGAUGUCAAAACCCUCCAGAAACUAAUCAUCAAUUAUGGGGAGCAAAGGUUACUUUGCUUGGCGUGAAAGUAUAGAAAGACGCUAGCGAGAGAAUGAUCAACAUAUGCAGUCUCUGCUCCGCCAAACUAGGCGACUCAAAGAAAAGAAUGAAGAGUUGCAUGUCCAAAUGUCAUCAGCGGGCUCCUCUCAAAGUCAAAAACCCCAAAGCCAGUGAAUAGUCUCAAGACGGACUGAUAAGACAUCUUUCCUUGGGAACGCAGAAUUCUAUUCUAGCAAUCACACAACACGAUCUGAGGAGGAGUUUUCGCCUGCUUUCCAAGUACAGCUGGACAAAGGCAUCGACUCUACCAUACUAUCAAUGAAGAAGAGGCGUGACAAAAGGUCAUGACUAUCAGAUGCGAUGCGAGCCCGAUUGGAACCUCAGACGCUAGGCGUAGAGGGAAAAUCGAGCAUGGUAGAAACCUUGGAGGCUCGUUUAGAUCUCUCAGCCACAACAAUUACGUCGGAGUGGCCUUCUCAUCCACUAAGACAGUGACAAGUAGGGGCGCCAACUGAUCGAGCUCCACCCGACUCUAUUAGUCGGUGGUUGGAUGACUUGCUCUCCACGUUGUUCGACCCUCAUAUUAUUAAUUAGGAACCAUCUCAGGGGUUCAUAGUGCCAAAAUUCAUGACAUACGACGAAAUAAGCGAUCCGUUUGAUCACAUCAUGCACUUUAGGCAACUUAUGACCCUUGAUAUAGGGAAUGAUACACUACUGUGCAAAGUCUUUCCAAUCAGCCUACACGACCAGACUCUCUCUUGGUUCCACCAUGUCCUGAAGAAUUUCGUGAACAAUUUUCGGGAUUUAUCGGAAGCCUUUGUGGGUCACUACUUAUGUUCAACUCGCCAUAAGCAGAACAUAAACACCCUACAAAACAUCAAGAUGCAAGAAAACGAGUUCCUCAGAGACUUCAUGAAUCGGUUUGAACAAGCUGUGCUCCAGGUGGAGUCUUACCACAUGGACACCAUCCUACAAAUCUUUCAGCAAAAAAUUUGUCUAGGCACACCAUUCUUUGAGUCUCUCGCAAAGAAGCCACCAACAAUGAUGGAUGACUUGUUCAGAUGAGCAAACAAGUACUCCAUGCUCGAGGCCAAUGUUUGGGCGGCUACUUAAUAGGUCUUGGUCACCAAUCGUUCGACCAAGCAGGAAGCUUUAAGCCCUCAAACCAAUCGAGGCAAGCUAACAAGAGGCGGGAUGGCCAGAAGCAGCAGAAUCAAGCGAGACUGACCCCCUUCAGUAUCAUAUAUGAGAAACUCCUCUUGAUAAUCUGCGAUCUGUUUGACUUCAGGUGGCCAAAGCCAAUCAUGAUAGAUCUGGCUAAGUAGGAUCGGAGCAGAAGGUGUGCCUAUCAUAAAGAUCAUGGCCAUACCACCGAACAAUGUAGGAGUCUCCACUACUUGGUGGAAAUUCUAAUCAGGGUUGAACACCUGAAACAAUAUGUUCGCACAACUAGCGGGCAAAGAGAGAUGACCUAAGACCUAGUCGUCCAAGCCCUCACAUUUUUAGCAGCUCCCAGAGUUGUCAUCAACUGCAUCCACGAAGGUCUCGUUGAUGAAAGAUACAAUUCUAAACAGAAAAAGUAGAGGUAGCUCCGUGCGACCUUUGUAAAAGAACAGGUCAGUUUCGUUCAACAUAACUUUUCGGAAGGAAGUAUGUGCCCUAUCAACGACACAAUUACCUUUCCCUCUAUAAAUGUUAGCCAAGUGUUGCAACCACACGAAGAUGCCCUAGUCCUAAUACUAGGAAUAAACGAGUUCAACAUGAGAAGGAUUCUGGUUGAUUCAGGUAGCUUAGCCGACCUCUUACAAAUGUUAGCCUACAAACAGAUGGGCUACUCACCAUUUGCCCUAGAGAGCCCAGGACGAUUAUUGUCUGAGUUCAAUGGAGCCAUGACGACUUCUCAGGGUGAUGUUAUGUUGCCAUUCCAAGCUGGUCCAGUCAUCUUGAAUGUACAAUUCUUGAUGGUAGAAGAUUUGUCUCCUUUCAAUGCCAUUGUGGGACUUGCAUGGCUUCAUAGAAUGAAGGUCGUUCACUCUAUGUACCAUUAGAUGGUGAGUUACCUCACUGAGGAGGGACAAAUCAAUUUCCUUGGUAGCCAACUAGCCACACACAAAUGCUCACAAGUGGCAUUAGAUUUCGGACAUUCAACCAAGGAAGAAGCACGUCCGGAAUCAUCAAACACGAGGGAGCAAUAGAAAUUACGGAGCCUGGCGGAGAAGGAUCCACCUACAACUAAUCCAUUCCAACCAUUGUACCUCUCACAUGGCACAAAUCAAAUCACCUAUACUAGCUCCCUACUCAUGUAUGAUGAAUUGGACCUGCUUGGAAGCAUGCUUUAGUGAAACAAAGACGUCUUCGCUUGGACUCACUCUAAUAUGCCGAGAAUCCAUCCAUUUGUGGCCUUUCACAAGCUCAAUGUCAUACCCUUCUCACGCCUCAUCUGACAAAAGGUUCGAUGUUUCCAUCCAAAUAGGCAGAGAAUCAUCCAGACGGAGAUUGACAAGUUGCUAGCAGCCGGAUUUAUCAGAGAAGUCAAGUAUUCGAACUGAUUAGCAAAUGUGGUGGUCGUUCCAAAGAAGAAUGGGAAGUGACGAGUUUGUAUUGAUUACACCAACCUGAAUGACACCUGCUCAAAGGAUAGUUUUCCCUUGGCUCGGAUAGAUUAGAUAGUCGACACCAUCGUCGAGCAUGAGAUGCUCUCUUUAUAGACGCUUUCUCCGGAUACCACCAAAUUCCCAUGUCCUAGCCGAAUGAGGAGAAGACAGUCUUUGUUACACCACAUGGGUUGUACUUUAUAAAGUUAUGCCGUUCGGGCUUAAGAAUGCCAAUGCUACUUAUCAAAGGCUAAUGACAAAGACCUUCAAGCCUUUGAUCGGUCGAACGAUGAAGGUCUACAUUGACGACAUUGUUGUAAAAAGCGGAACCCGAGCUGAACACGUCCAACACUUGGAAGAAACAUUUCGCCUGAUGCAGGCAUACAGCAUGAAGCUCAAUCUAGCUAAGUGUGUUUUUUGCAUCAGGGUGGGAAAGUUUCUAGGGUUUAUGGUGACCCAAAGAGGAAUUGAAGUUAAUAUAGAUCAAAUUAAAACUAUCCUUGAAACACUUGCCCCAAGUACCAAAAAGGAGUUGCAAUGCCUCACAGGCUGUCUAGCAGCUUUAGGGCAUUUCAUAACCGGUUUCAUAGACAAGUUGAGACAUUUCUUCCUCAUGCUUAGGGGAGCAAGCACAUUCGGCUGGACGGAUGAAUGCAGACAGACAUUUGAAAUAGUCAAGCUCUAACUCACUGAACCACCCAUUCUGAGCAGCCCCAAGUUUGGCGAACAACUCUAGUGUACUUGAUGCAUGAAUAUAUUUGUGGCCAUUAACAUAUGUUCAUGUUUCAAACUUUGUUAAGAAAAUGAGGCAUGUUCCUUUAAUAAUUUACUAGGCAUGAAAAGAGUUAUUUUAUAUAUCUUGACAUUAUUUUGGUAUGUAAAAUGCUAACAAACUCUAGGAUAUUUUUUACAUGGAGUUUAAAACUAACUUGUACUAUAUUAUUUUAUAUAUAUAUGUCUAUGAUAUGAUUUUGAAGCCUUUAUGAAAUUAUUGAUUCAAGCCUUGUAAGUCUAACAUAGAGAUAUGGUAUGUACAAUGUCAUUGCACUUUUAAAAUUAUGUGUGUAAUAAAUUUUGGGAAUCUCACAAGGAUUCUUUUGAUUUGCUAGUUUUUCAAUUUAGAAUGUGUAAAGAAUGUCAUUGGGUAACUUACCUUAAUUUGUAAACUGGCUUGGUUAUUUACAUUAUAUUAUUUUUUUUUAAAUUAAAAAACUAUACAAAACUAGGAGCUUCAUGCUAAUAAAGAGGCCUCAUGUGUGGGACACUAACAUUAUUGUUUUUAAACAUAGUAUUGUUGACAUUUCCAAUUAAUUAUUAACAUAUCAAGAGCCUAUAUGUACUCUUUAAAGAUAAUGUGGUUUCAAUCCCAUUACUUAAUCAAGCAUGCUUGUGUAGGUUAAAUUUGACUUAAAUUCAUUGAAUAUUUAUAACUUCAUAUUUUGACUCAUUAAUAUCUUCCUUUUAUUCUUGUUUCCUUUUUCUUUUGAAGCCUUAAGCAUAUACUUAAACAUUCUAAAAGAACUCACAAGGGAACAAAAUCCUAUUAUCUAUGAGUGCAAAUCUUUAUGUUCCAUUGCUAAAUCAUCAUAAGGAACCACUAGUGUCGCUAGAACAAUUAUUGAUACUAUAACAAAUUUCACAUUUUGCCACUAUAAUUUUAGCCACAAAUAAAUUUUUAUGGAAAAAAGAAGAUUUUUGCAACAAUUUUUAUUUUUAUGGCAAAAAAGUUUUUUUUUUUUUUAGAGAUGAAAUUUAUAUUCGUAGCAAAAUAUUAUAUUUAACCACAUCAUAUAUUUGUUGCAAAUAAUUUUCCAUAAGAUUUUGACCUAGUAUAACAUCUUUCAAGCUAAGCUUAAGCAAAAAGAGAUCAAACCCCUAGACAAGUACACUUAUCUCAUACGUGUACUUGGUUUUUGGAAAUGUUUUUGAAGGUGAUAUAGUUCAAUUUGAACCAAAUCAAUAUAAUGUCUAAUUUAAUAUAGGUAAUACAAGCAUAAUUCAAUCUUAUUUUUCUAAAUUUAAAUUAAGCUCAAGUUAAUCAGUUUAGCAUAAGAAGACUAGGUUAAUAAGUGAAUUAAAUUUGAGUAAAAUAAAAUCAUGUAUAAUAUAAUAAAUAAAUAAAUUUCUUUAAUGAAUUAAAUAAUAGUAUAAAAUAAAUACGGAUAUAAAUUAUAAUAUUAUAAAAAUAUUAAAUCAAGUUUACGUUAGGCUAGCUCGGAUCAUUCAAACCUUGACUUAAAUUUAACUUGAAUUAAUUCGGAUGGGAAAAUUUGAACUCAAGCCUUAUUCAUAUACUAAAAAUGAUUGGUUGAACCUGCUUUAAAAUUGCAUUAGAUUCAAUUUAGGUCAUACUAAUCCUUUCAAAUUGUAGCCUUACCUAUCACAUAUCAAUAUGGUGAAAAUGAUAAAAGAAAAAUUAUAGUGGUGCAAGCACCCUUUUUCUUACCCUAAUUAAUUAUCACCAUAGCAUAAUGUAAUAUAAUUAUUUUUUUUUAUAGAAUUUAAAAUAUUUAUUUUAUAUUUUUAUUUCAAUUAAUACCUAAACCCUAUUUUCUAAAAACCGUGGUAAAAACAAAAAUAAUGUUAUUCCACAAUUUUUGCAACUCACUUUAGCUUCAUAUAUAAUUUAAUGCAACAAUUCUAUUUUUCCUCAAAGUAUUGACACAUUAAUAUGACAAAUUUGAAAGAAAAAAAUCAUUAAAUUUACAUAUAAAUGCUUUGGGGCUAAGCUAACAUCCUAUUGGUGAAUUUUCAUUGAGAUUAAAUGCAAAGAAAGGAAAUGGGUUGUUGGUAGGUGGAUUUAGCUUAGACUAUGCUUAUAUAAGAAUUUUAUCAUACAUAAAUUUUUUUUAUACUAUAUAUGCCUGUACAAUUGAAUUAAAAAGAAUCCAUUUUCAUUACAUAACCUCAAACAAAAAAAAAAAAAAAAAGAAAAAAAAAAAGAAAAAAGAAAAAUGGAGAAAAAUAUGAAAGAAAAUGGAAAAUGCAAGUGGAAAAUGAAGGUUCCCAAGUAGACUUAGUUUGAACAACUCUUUUCAGCCAUGUGAUCCCACCUAUCCUCUUUAAUCAUGUGGACCCCAUUUUAAACAUCAAUUUUUAAUGAUGUGAACCCUCAUUUCAAUUUUUCCUUCUAUAUGUGUAGACAAUUUUAAUUUGAAACUUGCCUUAAAUUCAGAGUGAAAAAUCUAACAUCCUAAUAGUAAAUUAGGUGGUCCGAGGGCCCAAAUUAAAUGAGAUGCUUCUUCUGGAAAUGCAUCCAUUUAUUGAGAUAGUGAAACCCUCUUAUCUUUUCCUUUUUAAAACUAGGAAGAUAAUGACUUUUUAAAAUUUAUAUUUCCAUGAUAUAGUCAAACUUCCUAUACCCUAAUGACUUUUUCUAGUAAAAGCUUUCAUGACCAUUUCAAUGGAGUUUUUUUUUUUUUUUUUUACAAAGAAUCCAAAUAUUGGUGAAUGACCAACUUAGGAGGUGAUUUAAUGACUCAUUCUAUCGACAAACCCAAACUUGUUUUUUUAUUUACAAAUUUAUGUAAAAAUUCUUGACAUAUUAAUUUAAUAAGUUAUAAAAUAAAAUAAAAAAACGUACUAUUAAAUGCUUUGGAACUAAGCAACUUAACAAGAUGAUAUGAUAUUCCAUCAUUAAUUUAAAUUCAAUUUCAAGUGCUAAGAAAAAUUCUAUAUAAAAUUUUUUAACAUAAUAUUAAAAUAAAUUCUAGAAUAUGGUAAAAGUGUAACUUAUAAAUCAUACAUCGGAAAAUAUUUAAUAAAAUAUGGGCUAAAAUAAUAUAAAAUACUUAAUUAGACGGAAAAAUGUUAAUGAUGUCAUUCCUAUCUCUCUGCCGUGUCUCCUGAUGGUUUCCUUUUUCUUUUUGACUUUUUUUUUUCCUCGGCCACACGUACCCUCUUGAAGUUACAAUUCCCUGGAUCGACCAUUCAAGCUACCCGUCUUCCAACCAUUCUUCCUCCAAAUUGCAAAUGGCUUCUUCUUCAACCAGUCUCUCAGUAGCUUCUUCCUCUUCCACCCAUCCAUGGAAGUAUGAAGUCUUCCUUAGUUUCAGAGGAGAAGACACCCGCAAAAGCUUUACUGAUCAUCUUCACUCGGCGCUUUGUCAAUAUGGAAUCAACACUUUCAUAGAUGAUCAAUUCAGGAGAGGCGAACAAAUAUCUUCAGCACUCCUACGGGCAAUUGAAGAAUCAAGGUUUUCCAUCAUCGUUUUCUCUGAACACUAUGCUUCUUCAAGUUGGUGUUUGGAUGAACUUACAAAGAUUCUUGAGUGUGUCAAAGUGGGGGGACAUACAGCUUUUCCGGUUUUCUAUAAUGUAGAUCCCUCUCAUGUAAGAAAACAAACAGGGAGUUAUGGAGUAGCAUUUACAAAGCAUGAACAAGUUUACAGGGACAACAUGGAGAAAGUGCUCAAGUGGAGAGAAGCUCUAACUGUGGCAUCCGGACUUUCUGGAUGGGAUUCGCGAGAUAGGUAAUUCUUCUAACUGGAUUUCUUUGUUUUCUAUUUGGGUGUUGCUCUUUUUUUUUUCUUCUUUUUCUUUUUCUAAGUUGGAUCUACUUAAAUUUCUUUCUGGGAAUUGAAGUAUGUAUUAAUUCAACCUUUCCUGUUGGUUUAUCAAAGAGAAAAAUGAUAAAGCGAGGACGAGGUUUGGUGCUCCUUGAUCUCAAAAAUGACAAGAAGCAUAGGGUUGUUUUUCUCGUGACUAAUGCUUGAACACUUCUUCAAACCCUAUUGGAUCAGUGCUUUUUCAAUCUUUCCGAAGACCUACUGGGAUACCCGACCCUGCCCAUUAAUUAAUUGGAUCACCAUAUAUGUUUUUGCAGCUUUGAAAAUCAAUACUUGUGCCCUCAAAAUGCAUCCAAUAGCUUUUCUAGUGUUCCUAACCUCAUUUCUAGGACAUUCUUUACGCAGACUGCUUAAUUGGGAGAGUAUUAGACUGAAUAAUAAUAUCUUUGGAUUAUAUAAUUUCACAAUACAUUAUUCCUAGCUUCACGUCUCACAGCAUGAUAAUGGGAUUAAGAGUUUGAUCAAUUUUAGCUUCAUCUCGUUGAGUUAUAUAUAUUUUGUCUACCUUUGGUUUUUUUUUUUUUUUUCAGUCGCAACAAAGAAGAAAUCUAAGCACUGCUAUAUUUAUCUGUUUUUCUUUGUCCCUUUAUGACUUUAAAAAGAUGACCAUAUGAUUGUUCUCAAUUUGAAUUUCGCAGACAUGAAUCCAAGGUUAUUAAGGAAAUUAUUUCCAAGAUCUGGAAUGAACUGAAUGAUGCAUCCUCAUGCAACAUGGACGCUCUAGUUGGAAUGGAUUCUCAUAUACAAAACAUGGUUUCAUUAUUAUGUAUUGGGUCAGAUGAUGUUCAGAUGGUAGGAAUUUGGGGCAUGGCUGGUAUAGGUAAGUCAACCAUUGCUAAGGUUGUUUAUCAGAAAAUUCGCACUCAAUUUGAAGGUUAUUGCUUUCUUUCAAAUGUUAGAGAAAAAUCACUAAAAAAUGAUCCAGCUGAUAUGCAAAUGGAACUCCUUUCACAAAUUUUUUGGGAAGGAAAUCUAAAUACAAGAAUUUUCAAUAGAGGAAUCAAUGCUAUAAAAAACACGCUCCACUCCAUGAAGGUCCUUGUUGUUCUUGACGAUGUGGAUUGCCCACAACAAUUGGAGGUUUUAGCUGGAAAUCAUAACUGGUUUGGUCUAGGAAGUCAAAUUAUCAUCACAACCAGAGAAAAGAAUUUGCUAGAUGAGAAAACGGAAAUAUAUGAAGUUAAGGAAUUAAACAACAGUGAAGCUCAUAUGCUCUUUUGUCAACAUGCCUUUAAAUAUAAGCCUCCUACAGAAGAUUUUGUACAGCUAUGUGACUGUGCCCUAAAUUAUACAAAGGGCAUUCCCUUAGCCCUUAAAAUCUUGGGUUGUUCUCUAUACAAUAGAAGCAAAAAGGAAUGGGAGAGUGAAUUGGAAAAACUCAAAAGAAUUCCAAAUAAAGCUAUUCAAGAUGUGCUGAGAAUAAGUUUUGAUGGAUUAGAUAAUAAUCAAAAGGAUAUAUUUCUUGACAUCGCAUGCUUCUUUAAAGGACAAGACAAAGAUUACACCACAAAAAUACAGAAAAGUUGUGAUUUCUUUCCAGAAAUUGGAAUACGUAAUCUUAUAGAUAAGUCUCUCGUAACCAUUUCAUAUAAUAAGUUGUGCAUGCAUGAUUUGAUACAAGAAAUGGGAUGGGAAAUUGUUCGGCAAGAAUCUAUUAAAGACCCCGGAAAACGCAGCAGGUUGUGGGUUACUGAGGAUGUCAUUCAUAUGCUAACAACAAAUAUAGUAAGACCUAAAUGCAUAACUUUUUAUUUUUUAUUAUUAUUAUUUUUUUUUAAUUUUUACUUUGAGCUCAUAGUCUGCUCUUGGUUCAUUGUUAGGGGACUGAAGCAGUUGAAGGCAUAGUCCUUGACUUGUCGGCUUUAAAAGAGCUACACUUCAGUGUUGAUGUCUUUACAAAGAUGAACAGAUUAAGAGUGCUCAGAUUCUGUAAUGCACAAAUAUGUGAAAUCUGGGAUUAUGCUUGGAAACGGGGAAACUAUGAUUCGUGUAAAAAUCAGUACCCUAAAUGUAAAUUGCAUCUAUAUGGGGAUUUUAAAUUUCUAUCCAACAACUUAAAAUCUCUCCAUUGGGAUGGAUACCCUUCGAAGUCUCUUCCAUCAACUUUUCAUCCUGAGAAGCUUGUUGAAUUAAAAAUGAGCUUUAGUCGGCUUGAACAACUAUGGGAAGGAAACAAGGUAUAAUUUAUAUUUUUUGUUUUUCUUUAAAUGGAUUAUAAAGUUCAUCAAAGUUGAUUUGUUCUAGCCCUUUUUUUCCUCUUUUUCUUUGACAGUCAUUCCAGAAGUUGAAGUUCAUCAAACUUAGCCACUCUCAACAUCUAAUCAAAACUCCGGACUUCUCUGGAGCUCCAAACCUCAGGAGAAUUAUUCUUGUAGGCUGUACAAGCUUGGUCAAGGUUCACCCAUCCAUUGGAGCUCUCAAGAAGCUUAUUUUCCUGGAUUUAGAAGGCUGCAAGAACCUCAAGAGUUUCUCGAGUAGCAUCCAUAUGGAAUCUCUUCAAAUUCUUAAUCUCGCUGGCUGCUCAAAACUGAAGAAAUUUCCAGAGGUCCAGGGAGCCAUGUAUAAUUUACCAGAGCUUUCUUUAAAAGGAACUGCUAUAAAAGGAUUGCCUUUGUCCAUUGAAUAUCUCAAUGGACUUGCUUUAUUAAAUCUGGGAGAGUGCAAAAGCCUUGAGUCAUUACCGAGCUGCAUUUUUAAGUUGAAGUCCCUGAAAACUCUUAUUCUUUCAAACUGCUUAAGACUGAAGAAGCUUCCAGAGAUACGGGAAAAUAUGGAGAGUUUGAAAGAGCUUUUUCUAGAUGACACUGGUCUAAGAGAGCUACCUUCAUCAAUUGAGCAUCUAAAUGAGCUUGUUUUGUUGCAGAUGAAAAAUUGUAAAAAACUUGCAAGUCUUCCAGAAAGCAUUUUUAAGUUGAAGUCCCUGAAAACUCUUACUAUUUCAAACUGCUUAAGACUGAAGAAGCUUCCAGAGAUACGGGAAAAUAUGGAGAGUUUGAAAGAGCUUUUUCUAGAUGACACUGGUCUAAGAGAGCUACCUUCAUCAAUCGAGCAUCUAAAUGGGCUUGUUUUGUUGAAGCUGAAAAAUUGUAAAAAACUUGCAAGUCUUCCAGAAAGCAUUUGUAAGCUGACGUCUCUUCAGACUCUUACUCUAUCUGGUUGUUCAGAACUGAAGAAAUUGCCAGAUGACAUGGGGAGCCUACAAUGUUUAGUAAAGCUCGAAUCAAAUGGAAGUGGUAUACAGGAGGUACCCACCUCUAUUACUCUUUUGACAAACCUUCAAGUAUUAUCAUUAACAGGAUGUAAGGGAGGGGAAUCUAAGUCAAGGAAUCUGGCUUUAUCUUUGCGCUCAUCACCAACAGAAGGAUUCCGGCUGUCUUCUUUGACGGCUUUAUACUCCUUGAAAGAGUUGAAUUUAAGUGACUGCAACCUACUGGAAGGAGCACUACCCAGUGAUCUUAGUUCCUUAUCUUGGUUGGAGCGUUUAGAUCUGAGUAUAAACAGUUUCAUCACCGUGCCUAGCCUCAGUCGACUUCCUCAACUCGAAAGGCUCAUACUGGAACACUGCAAGAGUCUUCAAUCAUUGCCAGAGCUUCCAUCAAGUAUUAUAGAAUUAUUGGCCAACGAUUGCACAUCCCUGGAAAACAUUUCAUAUCUAUCAAGUGGAUUUGUAUUGAGGAAGUUCUGUGAUUUCAACUUCGAAUUUUGUAAUUGCUUCCGACUAAUGGAGAAUGAGCAGAGUGACACUUUGGAAGCUAUCCUACUCGCAAUUCGGCGUUUUGCAUCAGUAACGAAAUUUAUGGAUCCAAUGGAUUAUUCUUCGCUUCGCACAGUAUGUUAUUAUUUGUUUGCGUAUGCUAAGAAUUCUUAGAACAUAAUUUAAUGUCGUGUUAAAUAAUUGAGACAAUCCCACAAAUAAUCUUGGAAUACUAAUCCUAGAAUAUUAUUUCUCUACAUGCAUGCCGCUAACUUUUUCAUGAUUCAGUUUGCUUCAAGGAUUCCGUAUGAUGCUGUUGUUCCUGGGAGUAGCAUUCCAGAGUGGUUCACCGAUCAGAGCGUGGGGUGUUCAGUAACUGUAGAGCUGCCUCCGCAUUGGUAUACUACCAGGUUGAUAGGAUUGGCUGUUUGUGCUGUUUUCCACCCAAACAUCAGCAAGGGUAAGUUCGGCCGUUCUGCAUACUUUAGUAUGAAUGAAUCUGUCGGCUUCUCUAUCGACAACACGGCUUCCAUGCAUUUUUCAAAAGCUGAGCACAUCUGGUUUGGGUAUCGAUCCCUUUUUGGAGUGGUUUUCAGCCGGAGCAUCGAUCACCUGGAGGUUUCAUUUUCUGAAUCCAUUCGUGCCGGCGAAGUGGUGAAAAAGUGUGGGGUUCGUCUGAUCUUUGAGCAAGAUCUUCCAUUUGGCCGGGAGGAGAUGAACCAUGUGAGCUUGAGGAAAUCUGGUCCAAAUUUUUUCAUUCCUUAAUUUAUUAAAAUAAACAUAUUAAAGCAAUAAUUUUUGUAAUUGCUGAAAUGUUAUGCUACAUAUUUUUAACCAUUAAAUAUCUUGGUAAAGUUGUUUUAAGUGAAUACGUACCUUUUUCAUAAUCAAUGAUUCUAAUGAAUAAAAACUUAUUAAUUUAUUUUAUAAACUACUCUUAAAUGUUAUAUUUUAAUUAUUUUUAGUUAAAUACAUACAAAUUCUAAUAAAAACAUGUUUUUUCAUUUUUUUUAAAAUGUAGAAAAAAUAAUACUUUCUUUUGAUUUACUUUAUUGAAGAGUCCACCAAAAGUCUUUAGUGAAACAUAAAAAGAAUUCAUUUUAAGUUGAAUCAUUUCAUUCAAUUUAAUGAAAAAUACGUUAAUUUCUUCAGAUAUCUCAACAUGAAGAAAGUGAAGGAAGUUAUUAUAGGUGGAGACUCAGAUAUCCGAGGUAAUCACUUGCUUUUAAUAUGUUUUUAGGUCUUUUUACUACUCCAUUAGAUUAAGAUAUGAACAAAAUUUUGAUUUCCUCUUUCAUUUAAACUGUUUUGAACUAUUUCUUUUUCUUCUUUAGUGUGAACAUUGUCCAUGAUCAUUUCUUGAAGUAUAUUCAAGAUUUGAUGCUCACCUACUCCAUCUAUGUUCUAUUCAUAGAUGUCAUCACCAUCAUACUUUGAUUAGAUGAUUUGAUUCCUUUCUUCAUAUUAAAGAUCAGGAGGUGUUGGUCUAGGGUAAUAAUUUCUAGUUUUGUUUUGUUGUUUGAAUUGAUGGUUUAUUCUAUUUAUUUGAGGGUCUUGAUCCUUAAAUAUGGAUUUCAACCUAUCAAUAUUUAAAUUUGAAGUUUCUGUUAUAACAUUUACAACUUUUGUAUUUGUAGAGGAAGGUUUGAAGGAGAGGUCUAGUUGUUCUAACCGAUUUGUUAAUCUAUUGAUUAAUUCAUUGUUCGAUUUUGAAAAUUUGAUUGGUUCACUUCCUACUUCCGCAAGUUUGAAAAUCAUACGAUUUUUGUCUAAUUUUUGUUUGGAAAUUGGGGAAGAGUGAUUAAAGGAUUAUUUGGAAGUUCUAAGUUGUUUUCUAUUCUAUCUAAUUGAGAAGAGAGAGUACCUAACAUUUGAUUAGUAAAUUUAUUUUUUUGUUGAAGGUUUUUACAGUAUUUUAAGGUUACUGUUCUUCCUUCAUUAUCCUUUAAUCCUAUUAUUUUGAAAGGUGAAGCGAUGAUUUCAAUAUUUCGAGUUUUUAUGGUUAUUUCCUCUAAAGGAGGAUGAUUCGAAAUAACAAUUUUGCAUGACGUAGUUUUCCAAGGUUGGUUAUCUAGAAAAUAUAUAAUAUUAGUGAAUUGAAUUUUUUAAUUUUCAUUUUUAAAACCAAAUUUUAAUUGACUCCAUUCUAAUUUAUUUAUAGUUUUCUUUAUUUCAAUAAUGAUUUUGAAUUCAAUAAAUAACAUAUCAUUUUAUUUCAUUUUGAUGAUCAUUGUGGACUAAUAUUUUUUCAAUUAUUUUAUGUGAUUAAAUUCAUAUUUGUAUUAAUUGAACAUAUUUUGUGUGCUAAGUUGUGCCUUUUUGUCUUAACUAAAUAAAAAACUUGAAAGAAAUUAAAGAAUUAUCUAGAGGUUGACGAGAGUUUAGUUUUAAUAGAUAUAUUAUGCUAGAGUAACAGAGUUGGACACACAAGAACCAAUAAAAAAAACUAGAAAAAAAAUGAGAAAAUUAGGAAGAGAUGUAAUAAAAUGAAUAUAUAUAUAUAGGGAUUAAAAUGGAUUAAAAUAUUAUUUUGUAUAUUAAAAGAUUAAAAUAUAUUUUAUUUUGUAUAGGGAGACUAUUUACCAUUUUUUUUAGUAUAAUAACCAAAAUAGUCGUGUGAGUGCUGUUAGACGCAGUUGGUCUGUUGAUUUAAAGCCCCGCACGAGUAGUCGCCAAACAUGGUGGUUUAGCUACGCCCAAAAUUCUACCGCGUGCAAAGAAUUGGAUGGAGGCAAAAGUUAGUGGGAAAGUUGGCAUUAAGGUAUGUAGUGGCAGUCUAUAAAUAAUAUUAUGGACACGGUGGUAUUUUUUAGAAACGAGUAGGGCCCAACCGCCACUACAAGGAAAAAGGUAUAUGGUGACAUUUAUAACGAGUCACCAUAAACAUAGGGUGUCACUACAACAUAAUGUCACCUUCUCCACUGACACCAUAGAGGGUACCAAUUGGUGACGUACUUGGAAGUGACACCAAAGUAGAUAAAUGGUGACCCAUUCGGAAGUGACACCAUAUAUUUCUAGUGAUGAUAGGGUGUCACAUUAAAUACAUCAUCUUUGAGUUAUGAUGUCACAUUAAAUGCAUCACCUUUGAGUUAUGGUAUCACAUCAUUGUAAAUUAUUGUGGAAGAUAUGAUUGGUUUUAGUUGUUGAUUUUUGUAAUGCUUAUGAAUUAAUAAGAUUAAUCUGUUUAUAUUUUGUCCAUAAAUAUAACAAUCAUAUUAUAUUUAACUCAUUUUUCUGUAAUGUUUCUGGAAUAACUCAUAAUACAUUAAUCAUCUAAUGAUAUUUGUAUAUCAAAUGUUCACAAAAGGAUAGUACGUCCAACAUAUCAAACCCAUUAAAACUAAAAAAGAAGGGUGAAUACAUACCAAAACAUGAUUCAGAAAUGUUAAAGAUCCCAAGAUUCAUGUAUACCUCCAUUUCAUAAGCAUAAAACCGGCUAACCAUAAAAUGACAUAAAAGUCCCAUCUAAAAAUCUAAACUUCUCAGUUGCAAUUAAAGUAACGUUUAUGUCCUAUAACGUAUGACAUAAGAGUUGCAUUUAAAAACCCAAAAUCUUGUUGCCUUCUUCUUCUUUUUUAUUCUCCAUUUCACCCUCCCAAGAGUGUAUACCUGCAUUUCAAAAUUUAAUGAGUUUUAGAGAUUUUUAUUGAAGAAAAUAAACAUGGAUCGAUGUUAUCAUAAAUGAACAAAUCUAAGAACUAUUUUUUUUUUUCAAAUAGAAACAUUAUCCAAAGAAUAAGCAUUACUAUACAAUACCUAUGGAAAAAUUCAUGUAGUAGCUAAGGGACUCACCAUGCAUGGUGAUCAUGAUGCAUCAACAUGAUUCAUGAUUAGUUGUAGCACAAAAGUAGCCCAUUCUCCUCUAAUUUCAUCGAAUUCUACUUGAGAAUAUGUUUUUUUUUAUCACCAAACUGAAAUCAAAUAAGAAAAUAACAUUAAAAUGCAUAACAUUUGAAGGCCUAAAACUAUGUACAAUUCAUUAAAUAAGUAAUACCUUUGAAGCAAUAAUUGUAGGAUAAAAAAAUUAUCUUUUUAGUGAAUCUCAUAACAAAGUAGUCACAUUCGAACCCUCCUUCUUCUCUUGGACACUAAUCGAUCAAUUAUAAAAUAACAUUAGUACUCACAUAUAUAAAUGGUGCAAAUGCAUAAGCUAAUGUGUAAAGAAAAUUUUUUGGAUGUCACCUGCACUAGUUGCUAAGAUGGCUCCCUCUUAGAUGUUUUCUUUGCAAAUAUUCGAAGAGCCCUAUGUAAAUAAGUUCAAUGGGUACAUUUUUAAAAUAGGUAAAUGUUAUAUGUUUUAAUAUAUAUAUAUAAAUAAUAAAAAAAAUGUGUUUGAGGUGAAUGUAUUUUUUUAUUUAAAAAUAAUACUAUGAAAAAUAAUAGGAAGAACUUACAUGUUUACGAUGUCAUUUAAGUCCUCACAUGGUUUGUGAUGCAUAGGGUCAAGAUAAUGGACUAUCAUUUUCCUUGGCUCAAGCACUACCUAAAUAUAAACCCUCUAAGUCCUCAUAUCUAUUUCUAUUAACAAAAUAUAAAAACUUUCCAAAACUCAACUACUUAAAUAUAAAAACAAAAUCAAAUAAAAUAUCUAGCUAAUUGGAUUUUAGAAACUAAAUAAACUAUAAAUAAACUAAAUAUAAAAACUAAAUAAAAUAUCUAUGCCCAUGAAUUAAUUGAAUAGGAUAGAAAGACAUAGAGAGAACAUGGUUAUGGUUAUGAUUUCCAUCUUAUCAUCUCCCGUCAAUACCACACAUGCCCAUUUUAAGGUUGGACACUACUUUUGUUGCUAGACUUGGAAAGGGAACUUCAAAAUUGAAAACAUAAAUAAACCCUUAUGUAAAAAAAAAUAACAUUAAAAUAUAAUUGAGCAUUAAAAUAUUUACUCUCUUUCAUCACUUUCAUUUGAAUAUUAAUAAUCUCUUAUUGAGAUAGAUACUUACAAUUUAACAAAAUAGAAUUUCCUAAUAAUAAAAAAUAUAAAAAUUUCUAUUUCUAUUAACAAAAUAUAAAAACUUUCCAAAACUCAACUACUUAAAUAUAAAAACAAAAUCAAAUAAAAUAUCUAGCUAAUUGGAUUUUAGAAACUAAAUAAACUAUAAAUAAAUUAAAUAUAAAAACUAAAUAAAAUAUCUAUGCCCAUGAAUUAAUUGAAGAGGAUAGAAAGACACAGAGAGAACAUGGCUAUGGUUAUGAUUUCCAUCUUAUCAUCUCCCGUCAAUACCACACAUGCCUUCCCGGAUUGGUCCUUUUGGGGUUGGAUACUCUCAACGAAAUUCUAUAUCUCAUUCCCACUUAGAUACAAACAGAAAAAUCAUUCUUUUUUUUUUCCUCUCUCGUUUUUUAGAAAGGAUGAAGAUUAUGUGAUAAUAAAUCUAAAAAAAAUUAUGUACCUGUCAUUCUCACACAAAUACAUAUUAAAAAUCAUUCAUUUUUUCCUGUUUUUCACUUUUUUUAAGGACUUGAUCAUGUGUUUGGUUUAGAUGAAAAAAUCAAUUAAUCUACAGUUUUUUCUUCUAUGCUAGAAGAUUAAACCUAAAUUUUUUUUCCCUACAACUCAAGAAAACACAAUCCACAAAAACCAUAAUACAAAGAUGUUGAAACAAUUAAUAUAAUGACAUUAAUAAAAGAAAAAAAAAAUGACAGAUCCAAGAGAUUUUGGGUUACUUGGGAGUCCACAAAGUGAAGAAUGUCCGUUGUGAGCGUGUUGACUAUGGAUGGGUGAGAAAAAAGGUUGAAGAAGAUCAUGAUUUUAUAUAUAGGAUUUAUAUAUUGAGAUUUUUUGGAUUGUGGGUGAGAUAUGGAAACAAUGGGAUUUUUAUAUAGUAUCCAUCAUUAUUAAUUCUAAAAGUGGGCUCAUUAAGUUAUAAUACCUAAAAAAAUUUAUUUUAUAUGAUGUCACUUCCCAAAAAAUGACACUAUAAAUAUAAAAUUAAUAUCAUCUAACUACCUCAAUUGAAGAUUUUUUAUAUGAUGUGUCACCUUUAUUAAUUAUAAACCCUAUGGUGUCAUUAUUUUAAAAGUGACACCGUAAAUAGUGACACCAUAAACUAUUUUUGUAGUAGUGCGCUCUCAUACAUAUCUCAUAAAUAAUUAUUAUGUUCAUCUUCUUACACCCUUCCUUUACUCCUAGCCUCAGAUUCUCUGCUUUCGCACCAAGUCCAUCUUCUCUCUCCCAUUUCACUCCCUUGAAGUCGAUUUCUCUAUCAUUUUUCACUGUGUGAAGAAGUGGUUUCUCUUUGUAAGAUGCAUUUUCUCUUGCCUUUUGAUUUCUCUAACAAUUUCAAGAACUAAUCUCACUCUGGAAACUUUCUAUGGGCAUAACUUCUCUCGGUGCAUGAAGAUUACUGAUGUUGGAGCGCUACACAAAUACUCCAGUCAUAAAUCUUCAUACUCUUAUUUCAUGGAAGCACCGAUAAGUCUGUCUUUUUAAGCACAAGAUCUCUAAUAACUAAAAGUUUGAUAGAUGUUGUUCGAUUGCUCUAUGUUCAGGGGCUUGCAAAUGCUUUUGUUUCUACUUGGAUCAGAAAUCACUGAUGCAUCUGUUGCUGCAAAUGCGUCAAGCUAUUCAAAUUGAGAAUUGCUUGGAUUUGAGCAGGUAUGCUUUAGUCCCUAGUCUUGAUUGUUGCUGAGGAUUUAUGAGACAAUCAAUUAUUCUUGAAAGCUACUUGCUUGGGUAACUUGCUAAGGUUCUGUUAGUCUUCAGAUUAAGGCAGUGUGAAUGCUUCUCACCUAAUUAUGUUAUCACCCUUCUUGAUUCUAGAUGAUUUGCAGCUACCUCAACAUUUUAUUCAUUGAGUGAGGUAGUUGGCAAAGCUCUUUUUAAGAGAAAAAGAUUAUUCAUACUCUGGUAACAUCUAUUAAAACAGAAAAAGGUCUGUGAGGGUAGGUUUUCUAAUGGAAACAUUUGUAAGCUGACGACUCUUCACUCUUAUACUCUCUCUAGUUGCUCAGAACUGAAGAAAUGGCCAGAUGACAUGGGGAGCCCACAAUGAUUAGUAAAGGUCGAAGCAAAUGGAAGUGGUAUACAAGAGGUACCCACCUCUAUUACUCUUUUGACAAAGUUUCAAGUAUCAGCAUUAGCAGGAUGCAAGGCAGGGGAAUCCGUGUCAAGGAAUCUGGUUUUAUCUUUGCGCUCAUCACCAACAGAGGGAUUGGGUCUAUGCUACUUGAAAAUGCUGAAUUUAAGUGACUGCAACCUAUUGGAAGGAGCCUACCCAGUGAUCUUGGCUCCUUGUCUUCAUUGGAACGAUUAGAUCUGAGCAGAAACGGUUUCAUUACCGUGCCUGGUAGCCUCAAAAGGCUCAUAGUGGAACAACACUGCAAGAGUCUUCAAUCAUUGCCAGAGCCUCCAUCAAGUAUUCAAGAUUUAUGGGCCACACAUCCCUGGAAACCUUUUCAUAUCCAUCAAGUGCAUAUGCAUUGAACGAGCAGAGCGACACUGUGGAAGCUAUUCUACGGGGAAUUCGGCUUGUUGCAUCAAUACAGAAAUCCAGAGCUCCAAAUGAGCAUUCUGCCUUUCCCUGGAUGUUCUAUUAUUAAAUGUUCGCGUGUGCUAAGAAUUCUUAAAACAUAUUUUAAUAUGGUGUUAAAUAAUUGACGCAAUCCCACAAAAUAAUCUUGGAAUACUAAUCCUAGAAUAUUAUUUCUCGACAUGCCUCCAACCUUUUCAUGAUUCCUGGUAACCCUGGUCUAUCUACUUAGUAUAACAUUGUUGCUUAUGGAAGUACCAUUCCAGAGUGGUUCAUCCAUCAGGGGGUGGGGUGUUCAGUGACUGUAGAGCUGCCCCCACAUUGGUAUAAUACCAAGUUGAUGGGAUUGGCUGUUUGAGCUAUUUUCAACGCAAACAUUACCAUGGGUGAGUUGGCCGAGUUUUUAUGUUUUAGUGUGAAUGAAUCUGGCAGCUUCUAUAUCGACGACGGGGCUUCCAUGCAUUUUUCAAAAGCUGCCCACAUCUGGUUUGGUUAUCGACCGCUUGCUGACCUCUUUUGGGGUUCUGGUGGUCCGUUUAGAAACCAGAGCAACACUUUGAAGGUUUCAUUUUCUCUUGAGAAAGUGGGGUUCGUGUAGUAUCUGAGCAAGACGAUAAAUAUGGGGAAUGGAUCUUUCCUUUUGGCACCCUGUGGCCGGGAGAAGGAGAUGAACCAUCUUUUUCAAUAGGCCUCGAUAUCCUGUACUCCCCAUAUAAGCUUCAGGAAAUCUGGUCCUGAUUUUUUCAUUCCUCAAUUUGUUAAAAUAAAUAUACUAUAAUAUUAAAGCAAUAUUUUUUCUAAUAGCUCAUAUGUAAUGAUACUUAUUUUUAACCAUUGAAUAUCAUGGUAAAGUUGUUUUAAGUGAAUACCUUCUUCUAUAAUCAAUGAUUCUAAUGAAUAUAUAAAAACUUAUUAUUUAAUUUUAUAAACUACUCUUAAAUGUUAUGUUUUAAUUAUCUUUAGUUAAAUAUGUACAAAUUCUAAUAGAAACAUGUUUUUUUUUUUUAAUGUAGAAAAGAUAACAAUUUUUUUUGUUUACUUUAUUGAAGAGUCAACCAAAAGUUUUUAGUGAGCAAAAAAAAAAAAAAAAAAUCAAUUCAAGUUCGAUCAUUUCAUUCAAUUUAGUGAAAAGUACUUUAAUUUCUCCGGAUUCGAAUUAAAAGUUCAAAUAGAGUUGAUUGUAAGAUCAGUAAGCACAUGAGAUCGAAUUGUUGAAUAGUUUCACAUUGUAAUUAAAUAUUUGGUAUUGCUAGUCUUCCAAUGUUAACACUUCUAUAAAAUUAGAUUUUGAUUAUAAAGGUCAUAUUUAAUAGUAGAGAUAAGGAUGGUUUCACAAAAGUUUUCUCAUACCUCAUGGUUGAUUUACCGGUAGAAGUACGUGUUUCAAGUUAAAAGCUUUAUUUAUAACUUUUUAUUCCUUUUUUCUUUCAUAAAUCUAUAUCUUUUUUUGGAUGAAUAGUGUUUUUAUGGUAGAUUUUAUUUUUUAAAAUUCAAUUGGAGUGUCUUCUAAGAACUGUAAAUAGUAAAAUAUGAGAUUUUUCAUUUAUAAAUCCAAAUGCGAAAUAAAUGGAGGAUUGUUAUAUAUAAUAUGGAAUGUGUUUAAUUUAUUCAACAUUGAUAAUUAAAUUGGUUUCAACUUUUAGGAAAUUUUAUUAUGAGAUAAAUAAAUAAUAUUUAGAAGUAUUUACAUUAAUGCUAUGAUAUAUUUUUUAGAUAAUAAAUUCAUAUUAGCAUUGGUUUUAACUACUUUUGGUGGGUUAUAAACUUGUACAAAGUUGUGCAUGUUGAUGGUUGAUGUAUAUGGUGCAAAUUAUGUGUUUAUAUAUUUUAUGUUAAGAGCUCAUGUUGAAUGAAAGGAGCAAGAGUACCCUAAGAAAACUCCAAAUGAUGAUUAUAGUAUUGACUAAACCCACGUAAUAGUGACAUUCACUCCAAGCAUAGGGUGGUUGGUUGGUUGCAAGUAAUAAUUUAACCCAAUAAGUCAUGUGUCAAAUUAUAGGGACUAACUUCAAGGAUUGGAGAAUGUGUAAUAGAAGUUUGGGUACAAUGUGUAUAAUAAUAUGAUUCAAGCUUCAAAAUUCUAAUAUAGAGAUAUGAUAUGUAUAAUGUCAAUGCACCUUUAAAAUUAUAUGUAUAAUAAAUUUUGGGAAUCUCACAAGGACUCUUAUGAUUUGCUAGUUUUUCUGGAACGUGUAAAGAAUGUCAUUGGGCAGCUAACCUUAAUUUGUAAACCAGUUUGGUUAUUUACAUUAUACUAUGAUUUUUUGACUUAAAAAACUAUACAAGGCGAGGAGGUUCAUGCUCACAAAGAGGCCCCAUGUAUGGGACACUAGCAUUAUUCUUUUUAAACAUAAUAUUUUUUACAUUUCCAAUUAAUUAUUAACAUAUCGAGAGCCUACAUGUACUUUUUAAAGAUAAUAUGGUUUUGAUUCCAUUACUUAAGCAAGCGUACUUAUGUAGGUAAAAUUUGACUUAAAUUCAUGGAAUAUUUAUAACUUCGUAUUUUGACUCAUUAAUAUCUUCCUUUUUUUCUUCUUUCCUUUUCUUUUGAAGCCUUAAGCAUAUACUUAAGACAUUCUAAAAGAAGAACUCACAAGAGAACAAGAUCCCAUUGUCUAUAAGUGCAUAUCUUUAUGUCCCAUUGCUAAAUCAUCAUAAGGAACCACUAAUGUUGCUAGAACAAUUACUACGUGAGAUUUUAUUUUAUUUUUUAAAAAACAUUUAUUAUUAUUUAAAUGGUAUGCAUUGCACCUACAACUGAGUUAACCCAUAAUUUUUUCAAUUUGAUUUAUUAAGCUUUUUCAUUGAUAUACUCAAUGCUAAAACAUGCAAUUUUUCUCAAAAUCAAUAAUAUUUAUUUUCAAGUCUUAUUUGAAAGUUUAUUUCUUUUUUGAACAAUUAAUAUGCAAUCAUCCAAUAUUAAUAUAUUGAGUGAAACAAGUUUAUUUAAAAGUUGGUUUUAGCAAUUGAUUCAUUUCUAGAAAUAUCAAAAGGUUGCCUUCUUACUUUUGUUUUGCUCAUACCGAGGAAGAAACAAAUUCAAAAACAAACUCAUUUUAAGAACUUAAAACAUAAUAUUAUAUAAAAGAAAAUGCAACCUUAGGAAUAAACCAACAUGAAGCCAUGAGGUAUAGGCUAAGUUUGGUCUUGGCUUGGAUUGGUUACCACAUGCAUGGAUGGUAGCUAAAUAGCUAUACAAAUCUAAUAUUCCAAUAGUAAGAUAGUCCUAGUGUCCAAAUUAAAAGAGGUGUUUCUCCUUGAAAAUACAUCCAUUUAUUAAGGCAUUUAAGUCUUCAUUUUUUUUUAACUAUGAAGAUAAUGAAAUUUGGAUAGUAAGUCACAAUUGAAAGUUGGGAGAAACUUCCUUAGUAGAAAGUCCGUCAAACAUGGACACUUGCAUGAGAAGCCCUUUAUAUUCUUUCCUUCUUCUAGCUAGGUUAGCUAACAUCUAGAAAUAAAUAUUUAAAUUUAUAUUUCCAUUAGAUAAUGCUUCCAAUACUUUUCUAGCAAAAGCUUCACUAUCCAUCUCUAUGGUGCUUUAGUUUGAAUAACCAUCCAAACAUUUGUGAAUAACCAACUUUAGAGAAGAUGAAAUGAUCCAUUCUACGGACACUUAAUUGAAAGUAUUUACAUAUUAAUUUAUUUAGUUAUAAAAAUUAAGAAACUUACUAUUAAAUUCUUUGGAGCUAAACAACUUAAGAAAAUGCUAUGAUAUUCCCAUCAUUAAUUAAAAUUUAGACAAAUGUGCAAAGAAAACUACCAUAUAAAAUUUUUAACAUGAUGUUAAAAUAAAUUCUAGGAUAUGGUGGAAGCCAAAUUUAUAAAUCCUACACUAGCAAACAUUUAAUGAAUUAUUUACUAAAGUAACAUAAAAUAUUAAAUUAGAUAAAAAUAUUAAAAAUUUGAAUAAAGUAAUUGAUUUCACAGGAAGAAACAAUCAUGAGUUAUUCAGCCAAAUUAUUUUUCAUUAAUGAAAAACAAAUCAAGAUUUCAUUUUUUUACUAUAGGGAUUUAAUUUGUUACACCAUAUUUGUUGAAUUAGGUUGAAAAAAUAUCAUAAAAUAAAAAGAAAAAAGGAGUGAGAAAUAUUUUCAAUGUUGAUACCUUAUUGUUCACCAAUCUUAUAAUAUUUUGAAUGUAUAAUUUCUAAAAACUAACAUGAAAAUGAAAGAUUUAAAAAGUAAUAGUAAUUGGGAUGUUUUUGUGUAAAAAUGCUACCCUAAAUAUAUAAAUACCUUUUUUCUCAUUCCUCUCUCUCUCUCUCUCUCCCCUAGUUUCCUUUUUCUUUUUGACUUUUCAAUCUUGCUUUUAUCUUUUUUCUUUGUGGUGUGAGAAAAGACAAGAAAAUUUUAGUAUUUAUUUAUUUAUUUAUUUAUUUUUGUUUCAAAGUAGUUUUCAUAUGGAGUCAUAUAUAUCCCUCUUUUAUUUGACCUUCAUCUAAACCAAAAUUGGUAAAACAAACACCAAAAUUUUUCUUAAUUAAAAUACAUCAAAAUACUUGGAACAUUAAAUUCAACCAUAAUUUUUUUCUUGACAGAUAAACCAUUGCAUCUUAUUCAACAUCAUCAUUAUUUGCAUUACUCAUCCUCGAACUUAAGAGUGACAUUAUUGAGUUAUUGUACCCCAACAAUUUCUUUCAUAAGAACUUAAACUUGUUAUCCUUAUUUUUUAAUCGAAUUCUUAAAUCUAAUUUUGACCAUCUCAUUUAAAAAUCAAUCCUUGUAUAGCGUGGGUUAGUUAAGCCUUUUAAAAAAGGAGACAACUUAGCAUAUAACUAAGAGUUAAAAUCUAAUUUGUUAUGCAAGAUGGAUAGAUUAGAAUGAGAUGGUCAAGAAUGAAACUUCCUAUGAAAUUCGAUGUUACCAUUCUUUUGAUGAUUACACAUCACAAUACGUAGAAGUAGUAUUAUUGCACUCAAUGGUAUGUAGGCAUCACCUGCUUGGAUGUAAGCCAUAUAUUUACUUUUUUAACUCUAUUAUAGCUUUUCCUUAUAAAUUGUAAAUUUUAAAUAAAUUUCUCUUGCAAUUCAUUGUUAGAAAAUUGUCCUUAUAAAUAGUACAUUUAGAAUUUUAAUUAAAUAUGUCAAAAUAACAUAAAAUAUUAAAUUUUUUAUUUUUUUAGUAAUAAAAUUAAUUUUAUACUGGAAAAUUAAAUUUGAAAAAUAUUUUUAUUAAAACAUCUAAUUUCACUAUUUAAAAAAAAUAAAAUAAAUGUUAGCAUGUUUGAGUGCAUUAUGUUUCAAGGAAAUGGAAUUAAGGAAGAAGUUGAAAAAGGGAUAUAUUCAAAUUAAAGCCCAAAAAAGGGAAAAUGGGAGGAAAAAGUGAGAGAGAAAAGGAGGGACAAGUGGGAAAUAGGGUAGAGCCACUUUCAAUAACACUUUUUGGAUUGUGUAAACUUCCACUUUGUGGACCACCUUGGAUGAUAAUUUUUAGCCGUGUGGACCUAGUUUCAACAACAUUCUUUCAAUCUUGUGAACUCCAUUUUUUGGACCCACCUUAGACAACUUUUUUCAGUCAUGUGGACUCCAAUUUCAAGUUUCAAUAACACUUUUUCAGUCAUAUGGCUCAUUGACACGCAUCAACUCCACACUUAUCUCAUAAGUGUACUUGGUUUUUGGAAAUGUUUUUGCUAGUGAUAGUUCAAUUUGAACCAAAUCAGUAUAAUGUAUAAUUUAAUAUGGUUAAUACAAGCAUAAUUCAAUCUUAUUUUUCUAAAUUUAAAUUAAGCUCGAGUUAAUCAAUUUAGCAUUAGAAGACUAGGUUAAUAAGUGAAUUAAAUUUGAGUAGAAUAAAAUCAUGUAUGAUAUAAUAAAUAAAUAAAUUUCUUUAAUGAAUUCAAAGAUAGUAUAAAAUAAAUAUGGAUAUAAAUUAUAAAUAUUAUAAAAGUAUUAAAUCAAGUUUAUGUUAGGCUAGCUUAGAUCAUUCAAAUCUUGACUUAAAUUAAACUUGAAUUAAAUUCGGAGAGAAAAAUUUGAACUUAAGCCUAAUUCAUAUACUAAAAAUGAUUGGUUGAUCCUACUUUAAAAUUGGAUUGAAUUCAAUUUAGGUUAUACUAAUCCGUCCAAAUUGUAACCUUAUCACAUAUCAAUAUGGUGAAAAUAAUAAAAGAAAAAUUAUAGUGGUGCAAACACCUUUUUUCUUACCAGAAUUAAUUAUCACCAUAGCAUAAUGUAAUAUAAUUAUUUUUAUAGAAUUUAAAAUAUUUAUUUUAGAUUUUCAUUUCAGUUAAUAUCUAAACCCUAUUUUCUAAAAACUGUGAUAAAAACAAAAAUAAUGUUAUUCCACAACUUUUGCAACUCGCCUUUUAACUUCAUAUAUAAUUUUAUGUAACAAUUAUAUAUCUUCUUCAAAGUAUUGACACAUUAAUAUGAAAAAUUAGAAAAAAAAUAAUUUAUUUACAAUAAAUACUUUGGGGCUAAGCAACUAAGUAAGGCAAUCUAACAUCCUAUUGGUGAAUUUUCAUUGAGAUUAAAUGCUAAGAAAAGGAAAUGGAUUGUUGGUAGGUGGACCUAGCUUAGACUAUGCUUGUUAUAUAAGAGUUAUAUUAUACAUAGAAAUUUUUUUAUACUAUAUAUGCUUGUACAAUUGAAUUGAAAAGAAUCCAUUUUUCACUUACAUAACAUAACCUCAAAAAAAAAAAAAAAAAAAAAAAAAAAAAAAAAAAAAAAAAAAAAAAAAAAAAGAAAAAAGG
rnacentral:lncRNA from 1 species